rnacentral:lncRNA from 1 species
GUAUACAUCAUACUAGGUAGAUGGUUCAAUUGGCAUGGAUGGGUGGUGGAGCCUUGAAGUGCUUGUGAUGGGGAGCCCACGGCUUCUUCUCAGGAGUUGGUGGCUUCUUGUAUGGAGUUGAUGGAGGUGUUUCUACUGGAGGGUGGCCAGGGUAGUGACCCUGGGGUGGUGAAGGUUCUUUUGUCGGUGGUGGCCUCACUAUUAUUGGCGGUAGAGUUGGUGGCUUGGGCGUUGGCGGUGGUCUCACUACUCUUGGGGGUAGAGUUGGUGUCUUGUGUUUUGGUGGUGGAGGUGGCUUAACAGGAGUUGGUGGCUUGUAUUCUGGGGGUGGUUUCUCCACCGGAGGUGGCUUAUAAACUGGAGUUGGUGGCUUGUAUUCUGGGGGUGGCUUCUCCACUGGUGGUGGCCUGUAAACAGGGGUUGGUGGCUUAUAUUCUGGGGGAGGCUUCUCCACUGGAGGCGACUUAUAAACAGGGGUUGGUGGCUUGUAUUCCGGGGGUGGCUUCUCUACGGGAGGUGGCCUGUAAACAGGGGUUGGUGGCUUCUCCACCGGAGGUGGCUUAUAAACGGGGGUUGGUGGCUUGUAUUCUGGGGGUGGUUUCCCCAGUGGUGGAGACUUGUAAACAGGAAGAGGUGGUUUGUGCUCAUAUGGGGGUGGCUUGUGGUCAUUAGCAAGUGAGGGAGUGGUGAGGACCACCAAUCCAAGGAACAACACGAGUGAGCAAGCAGAAGACAUGUUUGGGCUCUGGUGAUGCACAAGUAGAAGAAAUGGGAACCAUUUAUAAUGCUUCGAGACCUUGGUUAGCACCAAAAUAUGUCAAAAUCUUGAUUACUUCAUUUCAUACAUAGAUUUAAAAUUAUUUCAAUCAACCAUGAUCCUUAAUUUUCUGGGUGGUCCAUAAAUGUAAUGGGGUCAAUUUGGGACCUAACAAGCUGAGAAGUUUGACAAUGCUGCAAGGCUUCAUCCGAAAGUCCGGGGAAGAAUAUUAGGAGUUACACUCCGUUUCCUUUUUUGGGUGCAUUUUUCUCCUUUAACAUUCUAUUCCCUUUUACAUUAGCAUUUGAUCUUAGCUCAUUUCAAGUACAAGUUUCUUGAACCCUAUACCAUUGUCAAAGUUGAGUAACCAUCUCUACUUUGCUCAAGAAACAUAAAAGACAAUGACAAUAAAGAAAAAGGAGAGAGACCAUACGUGACUUGGUUUAUAGGUGGCUUUGUGUUGACAUUUGAGUAUGGAAGCCGACAUGCAUCUUAGCUUCGAUUUUAAUUAAAUUUGUACAUUAGUGUCUGUGUCAUUCAUUUUGGUAUAAAAGGUCUCUUGAUUUCGUAAGUUUGGUAAGAACCGUUGAAAAUAGCAGUAGCAGCACAUGGUCCACUUUCUUUCACAAAAUAAUUUUAAAAGUUUAGAAGCAUAGGAGGUAACAUUAGUGGCCUUGUGGCUCAGCCACGAGUACUAUGUGGUGCUCGAGAAAUUGAGUUUAAUUUCCUUCCGAUAGUUCAUGAUAAGGUCCGUCACUGUCCUGAGACAGAUUGCGUUUUUUCUUUUUUCCUUUUUUAGUGUUUUAUUGACUAGCUAGGUGUGACUUUUCCUACUUUAAGGCACGAGGCAGAAAAGAAACUGGGAUUUAGUGCUUAAGAAGGCAAAUUUAAUUCGAUUUGGAUCUAAAAUUUGCCAGCAACAUGAGAUUUUCCAGCCUAUCGUUGCUCCACAUAUAGACAAGGCACUUGUAGAAGUGGCUUGUUUGUAGCCAUUCCCGAUAUUUGGACUCACUUGAUUCACCGGACACUUUGAUAAAAUUUAAUAUUUAUUAUUUAAUAAUUUAAAUUGAUUUAAAAUUAAAUUAUACCGAAGUUGUGAUUUAAAAAUUAUUAUUUAAUUCUUACUUUUAAAUAUGAAGAUUAUUUGAUAAAAAUAAUUUAAAAUUUAUUAUAAAUUAUCAAAUUAACAUAUUUAUCCUUAUAAAUUAUAAUUAAAACAGAAAAGGUCAAAUGAUUUGAGUAUCCAUAGAUGUGGUAAAAUAAUAAAAAAGAUUAUAAAAACAAUUAUGAUAAAUAAAGAUAAAAAGUAAAAUGAAUAUGUGAAUUUAAAGAAUAAAUUAAUUAUUUUUAUUUAUUACUUAAAAUUAUUUUUGACUUUAAAUUAUAUUAUUAAAUUAUUUUACCAAACAUACUUAAUUUAGUUAAUAAUUUAAAUUUAAUUUAAGUUAUUAAAUUGAUUCACCAAAUACCCACUUAAUCAAAGACUGAAGUAUACAUUAUUUGGCCAAAUGCAGCUAUUGAAAUUUAACUUUUUCCAAACUUAUUCAUUUUGUGGAAAUAUUUUUAGAAAUGAUUUUAAAAAUGCACUAUUCUGUGUGUUGAUUUUAUAUUUUGGCAUUAAUCCAACAUAGAAAACGGUUCUUAUUUUCGCUGUUAAAUAGGUACCAGAUCCUUAAUUAGUGCCGUGAAUCCGGCAGCUUCCAAUGAGUAAUUUGGACUUGGGUAUUGACAAUGUGUGGCCAUGCUUCUACUAUUUUAUUAUUCUUGAAACAUAUAUGAUAUAUUGGACUUUAUACAGGGAAAAAAAAAAAAAAAAGUCUUCACCAAAAAUGAUUCCUCCUAAAAAAUAGACUCCACAAACUAGGUUUAACAGGAAAAUGAUUCUAAUCUAGUAGUUUCCAGCCACAUGAGCAUUUACGUAACAAUAGUAUAGUUGAUAACGACUUUUAUUUUAUUUAUUUUUAAAUAGUUAAAGGGAUAAUUUUUGAGCUUAAAUUUUAUUUUUUUAUUUAGAAACAUUUUACUUUAUUUUUUAAUCAUAAUUCUAUUAUAUUAAUGUUUUAUUUUCUAUUUUUUAAUAUAUAAGGAGAUACUAAAUUUAUGUGAUUAUUUUUUAAAAAUUUAGUAUAUGAAAUUAAAUAAUUGGAUAUAUAUACAUAUAUCAUAUAAUGUUUUUUAAGUGUGAUUUUUGAACUUUUUAGUCAUUUUAUAAGUUUAAGCUUUUGAUUUUUUUUUUUAAACUUUGGUAUUUUUUAUUUUAUAUAAAACUAUUUUGAUUUAAUUUUAUUAAAAAAUAUUGGUAUUAUAAAUUAUUGUAUUAAUUAUUUUUUUAUAUUAUAAUGUAACUGGUAUAUACUAAAAAAUGUAUGCAAGUUCAAUUUAAGUUUCAAAUUAAAAAAUUUCAUUUAAAUAUUUAAUAACUUGUUCAUAAUAAAAAAUUAAACAACAUAAUACAAAUGAAAAGAAACAUAAAAGAAAAAGGAAAAAAUGGUCCUCUCUGUGUGUCACAUUACUAGGUCAUCCUCUUUUUCUAUGACCCUUACAAUAGAAUGGCAUAUUUGUCAAAUCUACUUAUGAAAGUUGGAAUGUUUCUACAUGUGUAGGGUCCAUUGGAACUAAUGGAGGAAAGGCUUAACGUCUAUGUAAAUCACAACGUUGCCUAGGUGGGCAUAGAUCUAGUUGUGUAACAUGAGAUGGUGUGAGAGUACAAUAUAUGCAUUGUAGUCUCUAUGGGAAGAGAGAUAGGUAAUGGUAGGGUGGUAGACGGUAGGGUGAUCUCUAAUAUAAUGACAUUUGAUGUGGUGGCUUCUAAGAGAGGAGAUAUAAGAGAUGGUAGAAUGACAUUUGGUGUAAUGGUCUCUAGUGCAAUGACAUGUGAUAUGGUGACCUAUAAAGAAGAGAUAUAGGUGAUGGUGAAGUGGUAUGUGGUGUAGUGACCUUUGAGAUAGAAAAUAGAGGUAAUGGUAGGUUGGCAGGUGGAGUGGUCUUUGGUGUAGUGACAUCAAUUAUAAAUGUCUCCAAGGGAGGAAAUAAAGGUGAUGGUAGGUAGUAAAUGUUGAGGUGGUCUUUGAUAUGUUAUGCUCUAAGAGAGAAGGUAUAGGUAAUGAUAAUAGGGAAUUUGACAUAGUGGUGUUGGAAAUAAAAAGUGAAAGUGACCGUAGAGGUGAAAGGGCAAGUGUAAAAGCCUCAAGUACGAAUGGAGUAAUUAAUGUGGAUGGUGCUAACAUAGUCUUAGGUGGAUACACAAAUAGUCAUAGUCAUCAACUAGCUUGCCCACCAUCUGUCUUUCUGCUAGUGAUAGGUUACAUCUUAAUAGUAAUGGCCAACAUAAGUGGUGUGGAUCCGAUUUUUUUACGUGUGUCCCCACUCAAUCGACAAGACUUAUUUUUUAUUAGUGAAAAAUUAAUUUUGGAAAAGUUGGAGUCACCACUUAUUUUAUUUUAUUUUAAAAAGGAAAGUAAAACAAGAAAGAGAACUCUAAAGAAGUGACUUCAUAGUUUUGGAAAAGUUAGUCUUAAAAAAUCCAAGUCUUGGUCCGGAGAUCAGGUUACUUAUUGGGAAGAUACCUCUAAGAGGUAAUACCCCUCUAAACCCUAAAGAAGUCUCUAAUGACUAAGUUGAGGAGAAUGUGGUAAUUAAUUAAUUGAUUGAGGGUACCUAGGUAGACUAAGGUGAUUUCAGAAUUAACAUACCAAGCUAGAAAGUCCAAUCAUGAUCAUAAAAGAGAGUCAAAGUAUGUACCUGAACUGCUUCUCAAACGCUAUCAUAAAACAUCAAAGUUAGUAUAGAAAUAUAACACAUAAUAUUUGUUUUAUCCAAGCAAAUAAAGCAUACAUCUAAGCACCCAAGAAUCACAUCAAGUAUGGAUAUAGUCAUCAAUAGCAUACGUGUCCAUAGAACUAUCGAAAGUAAAUGUGGAGGAGCGUAUCUGGACAACAUAGAUAACUUAUAAUGUGCUUCCACAAGACAUGGGGGUUAGAUAAAAGUUAUAAUAAUAAUUAGUAAAUGAAAGAAUUCUAGCAUGUUUGGUAUCUAAAUAACAUAGCAAAAAUGAACAAGAGUACACGAAAACAUCAAUUAUCACACGAGUCAUAUUGGCUAGUAUUUAAUCAAUAAACCAACAAUAAAUGACUAUAAACAUAUAAAAUGACAUAUUCAAAGAGACCCAAACAUAAAGAGCCUAGAACACAAGCUUACACUAAAUUUAGAAAACUAAAACAUGGAAUUUUAAAAGCAUAAAUUAGCAAACAAAUUGAUGGAAACUAAAUUUAGAUAACUUAAGAAUAUUUUUCUUAUCCUUCAAUUUAAAUCAGUAAGCCAACAAUAAAAAAUUAUAGAAACAUGGAAUAUCAAGAUCAAUGGGAUACCUAAACUAUAAUUUUUAAAAGAAAAUAAACUAAGCAUAAUAUCUACAAAGCAACUAAACUAACAUUUUUUUAAAAAUAAAUUAAACAUGACAUUAAUGGAGUAACCAAACUAAAUUAAAGUAAACUAAAAACAUUUAUGAAUUUUCAAACAUGGAAUCAGCUUUCUUAGUAAAUUAAAAUUAUUAAAAUAAAAUCUAAGCUUAAAAAUGAAUUAAAUACUAACUAAAGCAAAUCUAAAACCAAAUAUUUAACACAUAGGAUCAAUUAUAUUAACAAACUAAAAUUUUAUAAGAACACUUAAACCUAAAGUUGAAUUAAAAACUAACCAAUUUUUAAAACUAGAUCUUUAACCCAUAGGAUCAAUUAUAUUAACAAAUAAAUAAUAAAUAAUAAAUAAAUAAAACUCAAACCUAAAGAUGAACUAGAAAUGUACCAAAGUAAAUUCAAAACAAGAUCUUUAACACAUUAGAUCAAUUAUAUUGACUAACUAAAAAAAAAAAAAAAAAACACUCAAACCUGAAACGAUGUAUUAGAAACUAACCAAAGCAAAUUUAAAAUAGAGUCUUUAACACAUAGGAUCAAUUAUAAUCACUAACUUAAAUUACAAUUUUUGAAACAUGAACUAAUUAGUGUUGGAUUAAUUAAACUAAUUAACUAAAAAAAACUAUAAACUAGAAUACGGUGAAUCAAGAAUUCAAAUCAACAAACAUAAAAUAUGGGUACAAUGAAAUGAAAAUCUAUUAAACUAAUAAGACGGAAAUAUGACAAACUCAUGAACCCACAUUUUGAUCAACUAGGAAAUAGAAAUUAAUAGACCUGUAGCAUGGAUACAAUGAAAUGAGAUCAGUUAAAUUUAUUUGCCGAAAUUCUAAAAAACACAUACACUCAAAUAAGAUCUAAAUCUAAGACCAAGCAAAACUCAAACUUUCUCAAUCUAAUGCAAUGAAUCAAAACUAAAAUUAAAUAGAAAUCAAACCAUUUUUUUUUUAUCUAAUAUAAUAAAUCAAAGCUAAAACUAAACAAAAUCGAAUUUUCUUAAUUUAAUAUGAUGAGUCAAAGCUAAAAUUGAACAAAGUUCAAACCUUUAUAUAAUGGAUCAAAGUUAAAUCUAAAUGAAAUCCAUACUUCCACAAUUUGAUAUAACAAAUCAAAAAUAAAACUAGAUAAAAAAAAAGUCAAAGCCUUUCAACUUGACAUAGUGAAUCCAAACUGAAACGAAACAAAAUUUUAACUUUUCCAAUGAAACCCAAUAUAGAAAAAAUUAGCUUACCUUCUUUAGAAUAUAUGUAUGGGCCAUAAAGAAGUCACCUUGGUGCAUGUGUUCCUCACUUUGACGCCAAUGGACGACUUUCUAUGGUAGCAAAUGGAGAUCCUUUUUGGUGGUAACUUGCGUGUGGAAACCUAUGGUACAACCAAUGUCAUCUUUUAUUGUGCGUGUGGACCAAUUUCUUCUCGAGAACUCAUGUGUGUUGUGCUCAAAAUAUGUUGCCUGUGAGAAUCUAUUGGUAUACCCCACAUAUGGUUUCCUUGAGAGAAUCUGUGGUUGUGUGUGGGCGUUUUCUUCAUGACAGCAUGUGGAUGUUCCCAUCUAUGGUAGAUUGGUUGUGAUGCUUUAGUGCAUGGUCUCCAUAGGAAUAGUGUGUUAUGGAAAUUUGGUUUUUUUAUUGGUGCAUGUUGUCUAGACUUUCCCAUAUGCGUGGACUGUGUGUUCAUGCUUUUCUUUUCGGAUGGUCGCCUGUGUUAAUGUGUGGCGGUGUCUACAAUGAAAGAUACAACCCUUUCUCUCCUUCUGCGUGAUAGAAAAGUCAAUCCCCCAUGGUGCGACUAUGUUCCCUCGUCCUUUUUGAAAAAUUUUGGUGUUUUCCCCCCAAAAAAUCCCCUCCAAAAAUCUAAUUAUAAAUGUCUGCUUUGGCCUAAUGUGUGUGCUACUUUUUUUUUCCUUCUUUUUAUGGUUGUGCGUGCUUUUCUUGAUACGUGGCUUAUUUCUUAAGGAUAUGAUUCGCUCCCAAUUGGUGUCUCAGCUGAUUCAUGUCCUUUCAAUGGUCCCUGACAGUGGUGCCAUUUGAUUCGUGUCCAGCUGGUGUCCCUUGAUUGUGGUCCUCAGAAGGGAGUAAUCAAUAAAAUUUAUAACCUAUUACACCAUGUAUUAGGAUAGCCUUAGCUAGCAUAGCAUAGUGGCUCUAGGGUCGUUUAUUGGGAUGAGUUUUCACUUCACAAUUGAUAUUAAUUCAAGAGCUGAAUUGGUGCCUUUUCAUUUCAAGGUUAGCUUUAAAAGAAAACAUAAUCUUUGGUGGAAAAAGGUUUGGUUUUAAACUAACCAAAAAUAGUAACUGAUUUUACUUACAAAGAAAAGUGUUCUUUGGAGUUUAGAUCACUAGGCUCAGGUUCCUCAUACAAAAAGGAGAGUUCCGAUCAUUUGUUUCUUUUCCUCGCAUUAGAGAAUUAACAUAUAGUUAAUUCUCUAACCGGUGCGGUACAUAUGCUUCCCAUUAAUGGGUUCAAACACUAAAUACCUCUCACUGAUGCACCUUGCAAUGGCUCGUGCCUCUCACCUAGCAUUUAUCAUUCAAGGUGAUCUUUAACCUUGGAUUACCCAUCAAAAGCUCGCAAGAGAUAACUAAAGGAUGUCUCCUUAGAGUCCAAAAGCUUACCAAGUGUUGGUUAUUCUAGAAAAUCCUACCUUCAAACCACCUCCCAAAGGCUCGCAAGAGAUAAACAAGUGCAUCUCAAUGGAUGAAGAUCACUUGCCUUACCAAGUUUUGGCCCAGAUGAUUUAAUGACAUUUUAAGUUAACUAAAAAGAUAAAAACCAUUAACGGGUCACACUUUCUCUUCAUUAAAAACUAAAACAACAAAACUUCCAAUUUAUGCAUGAGGAAACUUACCUGGCUUUCUUCACUUCAAGAGAUGAAGAGCCUAGCCACUCAUCAUUUGAGGAAAAAUCCUCAGAGUUUGAUUUGCUAGAAAUAAAAAUAAUGAGAAAACAAAAAUAUAUAUAUGAAAAACAGAGCAAGUUCUCUGUAAUAUAUUUUUCUUCCUUAUACAAAAGGUUGUCUCUAAGAACAAGUUCCCGAGAUCUAUCUGAUUGUAAAUAAAAUUACAACUAUAUAUAAGAGGUUAUUCACCCCUUUGUUCUUUCUUAAAGACUAAGGAAUCCUAUGAUAGGUGGGUUACAAGGAGAGUUUGGGGAUUUAGACAUCAAAUAUCUAAAGCAAAAUAUCUCAAGAUGUUAGUCGGAAAUAUCAGGAAGCUUCAGGAGAACACCGCGACACUGUAUACUGAGAGAAAAACUCUCCGGGUAAGCUCUAUCAAAGGAUCCAGACAUGUCUGACUGGGAAAGUUGAAACGUCCUUCUCUCCCAUCCGGAUGUGAGAUAUCCGGAGAAAGUGAAAUGUCGGUCGGACAGAAUUCUUUCCCCGGGUGGAAUGAGUUGUGUUGCGCGUCGCAAGGGGGACCGUCUGCGUGUACAAGUUGUAGGGACCCCUCUCCCGGAUGACACCGAGCGCGUAAGGCUAUCCGGAUCAACUCCAUUCGGAUUCCCCAAGAGGACAUGUGGCGUGCUCCCCUAUCAGGACUCCCUUAGGGAGAAGCACACGACACUCGUGAACAUCAUACCCGGACGAUAGCAUGUCCUAUCCGGAUGUGUUGUCCGGAUCAUUGACUAAAGUGAGCAAGCCUUGCUACGUCAUUCGGACAGCUUGCCACAUACCAUGUUCCGUCGCCAUCUGAUGGUGUGUCCGAACGCCUUGUCCGGACAUCUUUUGCUCCUUGCAUUCCGGAUUUGCUUAUGACAAAGGACUUCAAAGCUUCGGUUCUUCAUGUUUCUGAGCUUUCCAUUGCUUUGCCAUGGAUUCCAAAGAACUCUCCUUAAUCACGGAUUGCUUUGGUGAUCAAAAAGUUAUCAAAACACAAAAACUUAACAUAGUUUGAUUAGAAUUGAUUGCAAGGGUUCUUAAUAUGUUAAUUGGGUUAAAAGGUGAUAACUACUACUCAAAAGUGUUUAUAAGAAUUAAUUACAAGCUAUGAAAUAACACUUUUUGAGUAGUAAUCAGGAUACAUCCUAGUUUUUCAUGGAAUUGAUAGUGGGUUGUUGUGCAUGAAUGCCACCAUUUCAACUAUGCUGUUGUUAUUUUUAAAAAAAAUAUGGAUUAUGCGCGAGUGGCAAUUCUCCACUAUGGAAAGUGGAUUGCUCCUUCAACCCAUGCAUGGCUACGUAUUCCUAUGUCUUUCUACUUGUGUUUGAUCCUCCAAAAAAAAUUUCGGUUUAGUGCUAGUAGAUUUUAAGUGGUGGAUCCCCAUUUUUUGAAAAUGAAGUGGCAGCCUCCCAUUUCAAGACAAAAUGGUAGCCUGCCUUUAAUCUUUGGAGAAAAAUCUGUGCAUGACCUUUUUUUUUCCCAAAAAAUCCGUGCAUGGUGUCCUUUAAUAUUUGGAGAAAAAUCUAUGUUGGAUCUUUUCUUUUCUAGAAACAUUUGUGUGGUCUUUUUUGUUAGCCCAAGGGUUCUUCUAAUCAAGUUUUGAUGAUAACAAACCAUGGUUAAGUGACUAAUUGGUUUAAUGAUUAAGAAUCUCAAACAUAAAAUCGAAAAUUCAUCAAAGGACCAAAUGGAUACAAGAUCGAGACGCUUGGAAGACUUGUAAUCAUAGGAAACUAAUGUAAGAUGAAUGCAUGAGUGCACUUAGGAUUUUCACACGUUUCAUGCAACUUAGAAAACCCAGUUUAUUCUUUAAAACUUCAUCCCAGUUUAUUCUUUUUAUGGUUGUGUGUGCUUUCCUUGAUACGUGGCUUAUUUAUUAAGGAUACAUCCCAGUUUUUCAUGGAAUUGACAGUGGGUUGUUGUGUGUGAAUGCCACCAUUUCAACUGUGCUGUUGUUAUUUAAAAAAAAAAAAAAUGGAUUGUGCGCGAGUGGCAAUUCUCCACUAUGGAAAGUGGAUUGCUCCUUCAACCCAUGCAUGGCUACGUAUUCCUAUGUCUUUCUGCUUGUGUGUGAUCCUCCAAAAAAAAUUUUGGUUUAGUGCUAGUAGAUUUUAAGUGGUGGAUCCCCUUUUUUUGAAAACUAAGUGGCAGCCUCCCAUUUCAAAACGAAGUGGUAGCCUGCCUUUAGUCUUUGGAGAAAAAUCUGUGCAUGACUUUUUUUUUCCCAAAAAAUCCAUGCAUGGUGUCCUUUAAUAUUUGGAGAAAAAUCUAUGUGGGAUCUUUUAUUUUCUAGAAAAAUUUGUGUGGUCUUUUUUGUUAGCCCAAGGGUUCUCCUAAUCAGGUUUUGAUGAUAACAAAUCAUGGUUAAGUGACUAAUUGGUUUAAUGAUUAAGAAUCUCAAACAUAAACUCGAAAAUUCAUCAAAUGACCAAAUGGAUACAAGAUCGAGACGCUUGGAAGACUUGUGAUCAUAGGAAACUAAUGUAAGAUGAAUGCAUGAGUGCACUUAGGAUUUUCACACGUUUCAUGCAAUUUAGAAAACCCAGUUUAUUCUUUAAAACUUCAAUUUCAUUAAAACCCGAGUUUUUAACUAAUGUACCUUAGGCAAAAUGUUUUAUAAUUGGCUUAAUAAUUCACCUAAAUACAUUUUCUAAGUGUUAGAAAAGAAAGGAAUUAAAAAAAGGUUUUCGGGGCAAAAAAGGCUCAACCGGUCGAGGCUAUGGUCAACCGGCUCAACCGGUUGAGGAACCAAUCGAUCGGUUGUGCUUGUCCGAUCGAAGACCAAUCGAGGGAUGCCAAAAAAUUUCUCUCUCUCCUAGUGGCCUUCUCUUCCCGGUCGAGGUUCGGUCUAGGCAACGGUAACAUGUCAAGCAUUAAAUGCUCCGACGACUAGUGAAUCGGUCGACCCCUAGCCCGAUCGGACGAGGUUGCCUUUUGCUGUUUUUGACUCCCGAGCUUAGAAACCUAUAAAUUGAGAGCUCCACUUCAUUUAUUGAUAAAAGAGAACACUUGCAUUCAAUAGUCUACCUACCUUUUCUUGAUCAAAAAGCUCUCAUUUCCUUCAUAGUGCAUUAAAUCAUCACUUGCAUAUCCUUUAGUGCACUAUUGUGUGUCAUCCUAGCUUUGUUUUGUAUUUGAGCUAUCCUUAAGCUAGGUUGAGGGAUUAUUUCUUAUAAAAAUCUGAGUGUUAAAGCCUUCAAGAGAUUUGAAUCUUGAAGAGAUUGUGUAAGAGCCCAUUGGAGCCGGAGUCCAAGUGUAAGAAGAUUGGAAGCUUGGUUGAAGCUUCAAGUUAGUGGAACCCUCACUCGGUUAGGAGGUUGAGGAGAGUGGACGUAGGUAAGGAAGUGUCGAACCAUUAUAAACCCGAGUUUGAAUUCUCUAACUCUAUCUCUUUAUUUUGCUUAUAUUGUGUUUGAAUUUGUUGUGAUUGAAAAGAUUUUAAAAACCUAAUUCACCCUCCCCCCUUUUGGGUUUUUUUUUCUUAAUUAAGCAUAACCUUUGUUUUCUAAUUUUCUUUUUAGGAAAAUCCAUGCGUGGUAUGUCCAAACUCUCCAAGUGGCAGUCUGCCUUCUUCUAAAAAAUUUGUUUCUAUUUCUUUAUUCGACUACCUUCCAUGUCUUCCUAAUGAGUGCUUGUGCUCAAUGGUCAAUCCCUGGUGGUUGCCUCCUUUUCCCAUAUAUACGUGUUGCAAAAUCAACAUCCCACUAUAUGUGGGUUGCCUCUAUGGCAAGUUCACAUUUCCCACAUGAAACCUAUGAGUUUCCACCAAAAAUUGCCAUGAAAAAGUCUUUAUAUGCAUCUCAUGCAAUAAAAAGUCAAGCCAAUACUCAUCUUAUCUCGAAAAAUAAGUAACCAAAAUCAAGAUCAUGCCUAAGUGAACUAUGCCAAAAGAAGUGUCCAAGUGACCUAUUAUGAAAAAAGUGCCUAAGUGACCUAAGGUGAAUGUGUGUAAGCUGGAAGGUGUCUAGGAUGUUUAGGACAAUGCCUAAGCCUAAAAUAGGGUUGCCAAGGGUCACAAUGGGGUUAGAUAAAUCUCUCAAUCAGAGUCUCCAAGGUGGCUCAUAAAAGAUAAGCUACACGAGUAAUGAUGGGCCACCAGGGAAUUAUUGUAAAGCACCAAACGAACACAUAAUAGGACAUGUGUUAGAAUGAAAAAAUGGAGGGUUUACAAGUGGUCUCAUGGAUGAGCUUGAUAAUUUAAAUGACUCACAUAAUGAACGUAUGUGAUGUUUCUCUCCAAUAACAAGCAAAACAUCACUAGCAAUAUGAUGAAUGUCUCCUAAAUCACUUGAAGUAGUCCUAGCAAAUCAAUUAGAAAAAUCACACAUAUUGCUCUAAUGUAAUAUUAUAUACAUCUGUCAAUGAAUGGGAGAACUAAUGACACAACCAUCAUGUUGAUAUCUCGAACCCUCUAAUCUCAUAUGUAGGUGGGAUCACACUUAGAAACUCAUAACACAGUAAUGACCAAUCUAAGUCAAAAUGUGUUGGUGAUCGGAGGCCCAUGAAUAUGAAGUUCUAGGAUGAUAAUGACAUCUUAUAAAGUAAUGAUCAUCUCCUUAAUAGAUAGGUGAAAUGUGUGUGUCUUAGGACACCAUCUCUCAACAAGACUUGUGAUCAAUCCCCAGUCUAGUGUAACAUGCCUAUUAUGACAUCCAUCGUAAAAUCUAGACUAGAUAAUAUAAGGACAAAUGUGAGGGUUCAUCUCCCUUUCCCACAUAAAUUUAAAAAAUUAUUAUUGACAAGUUAAGACCAAACUAAGUUGCAAAAUAUAAAUAAGUCCAUUAGAUAACAAAUUUAUGUUUUCUCAUUUUCUCAUUUUUAAAGAGAUAUUAUGUGCUUCCAUGUACAUACAUGCUAAAGUCAAUUAUACGAGACUUAUAUCCAUCUUGUAGAACCAAAUCGAACCUAUCUAAUAGAUCCAGAUUAGAAGUAUGUCCUCUAUACUCCAUAUUUAUAACACAUUUAUAAAGAUAAAUGCUAAAAAAAUGUUAAAGAUAUAAAUUUAAUGAACCAUACUUUAUGAUUUUAAUUCUCAAUUAUUGUUCAUAUUUAUAAGAGAAAAGUUAAAAAAAUUGAUAGAGUUUUCCCUCUAUCAUGGACAUUAUCCCAAAUAAAAAUAAAUUGAUUAUGCAAAUUACAUUAAUAUUUGUAACCAAAUGAUCAAUAACUAUCUUGUAUCAAUUUAGUAAAUAAAUUUAAGUAUAUCUUUUCAUUUAUGACUAACAAAUAACUCAUACUUGUCCAAUAAAAGCCACACCUAAUUUCUAAAAUUUUGUCUUCACCUCAAGUGAGUGUUACAUUGAGAAAGAAAAAAUAUGAAAGAAAAAAUGAACACCUUUUUCUUUUAAUAAAAAAAGGCCAUAACGAAACAUUAAAUCUCACUGUUACACCUAUCUUCAAUGGAAACAUGAGGAUGUGAAUGGUGGCGGUGAUAUUCUUUGCUUGAAGCUCAUAAACAAAUAUUCCUUACUAAGCCUAUGCCAUUUAGUAUUUCAAUAGUGGACCCCCCCCCCCCCCCCCCCCCCCUCCUUGCAUUUCAGAUUUAGCAAACUUAGAACCAAAUAACAAAGUGCAUUUGAACCCAUAAAGAAGUAAUGAGACUCUCCUAUAUUGGCAAUAGAAGAAAUUUUUGGAGGUAUAGGAGAUUCACGGAUGAAGAAGUUGGGCCCCAAUUGAGAUAAGACCCAAGAAAAGAUGGGGUAGAGAGGGAUGGUUGGAAAUUGUAAAGUAAGAUUUUCAAAAUGUAGUUGAUGACUAAGAUUUUGACAAUUUAAAAAAGGUUUAAAAAUGUAGUUAGCAAUCGGGGUUUUGUAACAUUUAAAAAAUAAAAUAAAAUCUCAGGCCACAUGGUAGCCCAUGUGAUUCAGAAGCUUGAGAAUUAUUUUAUAAGAAGACUUAAUUUGUGAUUUUUUUAUAACUAUAUUAUUUUUUUUCUUAACACACGAAAAAAAUUAUGAAAUAAGACAAUUUUCCUAAGAAAGCAUGUAAGUGACUCUUGGUUAUUUUAUUUAACUUCUUCUAGUUUGGAGAGGAUUAAUACCUUUGCUUUUACUCACUUGCUUGGAUAUGUACACGUUGUUCAUGUCACUUUUCAUUUAAUUUUCUGAUUAAGGGAAUUGGAACCGUACGUAACUGUCUUUAUUCCCUCUGAAACUUGGACUUGGAGUUGGACUUUCAAUCUCAUCAGUCGUGUUUCCAUAAAAAAGAAGAUGGAUUAACCAAUUUUCCUAUGCCUACUAAUCAUACACAAAACUCCACUUCCAAAUAAAAAGGAAUGGGAUAUCACUUGUUAAUAGUGGCUAAAGACUAUUAAUAACCAUGCAAAGAAAUGUCACAUUUUUUGUUCUACGCAAAUUUUAUUCAUCAACUACUAGAACCAUUUCAUACAAUAGUAGCUUUUCGAUCCUUUGAUAAAUGGACACUUGAUGUGAUAACACCAACUACACCUAUAUAUUCAAGCAAUCAUGCGUAUAUAAUAGUGGAUAUGGAUUACUUCUCUAAAUGGGCAAAAGUUUUGUCAUUCAAGGAAAGUGAACGAGGAAACACAAGUUUACUUUCAUCGGAACUAAUAUUAUAUAUUGAUAUGACUUCCCAUUAUUACUUACGAUGGAAUAUGCUUCCAUAAAAUGGCCUAGAUGAACAAACUAUCCAAGAAGUUUGGGAUCAAAUAAUAUAUAUAUAGUUCAUGUGUGAUUCUUUGGUUGACAACCUUGUUAAGGGGUGAGUGAAGCACUUUGGGCAUACCACAUACUACAUGCUAGACUUCCACCCAAGCUACCCUAUAUUCCUUAUGAACAAAGUAGAAGUUGUCAUCUCUCUUGAAUACCAAAUCCUUUCACCUAAUAAUGCUAUCUAAAAAGGUCUUAAAAAGGAUAAAAAUGCGCAUAUUUGAAUUUUUGAAUUAGGAGUGCUACUUAAAAAGAAGCUAGAUAUACAAUAAUAGAAUGUUAUCAAGCAUAUCUCUUCAAAGUUUUUGACCAAAAAAUAUAUGAUUUCUCAUUUUAGGUAGGAGACUUAGUACUCACUAUUCAAAAACCAAUUAUCAUUACUCAUAAAAACUAAUAGAAAGUUUGGGCCAAAGUAGGAUGGACCUUAUAUUAUGCAACAAUUAUGCCUAUAAAAUUGUUGCAAAAGAGGUUUUAGAAUCAAAUCAAUGAAUGAAAAAUUAUUAAAGCAUUACUAUGCUUGAAGGCUAGUCAUUUUCCCUUAAAGUGCAAUAUUAAGUUGCAUAGUACUAUGUGGAUCCGCAUUUUUCACAUGCGUUCCCACUCAUUGUCGAGACUCACUUUUUAGAAGUGAAAAAUUAGUUUUAUUAAAGUCGAAGUUGCCACUGGGGAUUUGAACCCUAACAAAAGGUUCAAUUUAAGGAUAAAAAUAUCGAUAAUCACAUAUAUAUAUAUUGGUACUUUGAUUUUAUGAAUAUAUUGAAGAAAUAUGGACAAAUAUUUUGACACAAAAUAUGUACAAAAUAAAAAUUAUAUAAAAAGUAAAAAUAAAUAUUUUAAAAUUAUUUUUUUAAAUAUAUAUAUAUAUAAUUUGACAUAUUUGAUAAUAAUAUAUAAGGGUCUCCAAAAAGCCCGUGGCCCGCUUUAGGCCCGGUCCGACCCGACAGGCUAAAGCCCGGCCCAAGCCCGCCGGGCCCAAGCUCGGCCCGAGCCCGUUUAUGGGUGGGCCGGGCCGCGAGCCCGUAGGCCUGCUCCUUUAAAAAAAAACUACAAAAAUAAAAAGUAUUAAAAAAAAUAUUCAUUUCAAAAUUUUAUUCAUUGAAUGUAUAAUUACAUUUGAAAAUGUGGGAAAAGUUUACAUCACUACAAAAUAAAUACAUCCCAACUAGGUUGGCACCUAUUUAUUUGUCAAUCAUCUGUAUUUUUCAACCACAAAAAAUAAAAAUAAAAAUAUAAUAUACAUUUAGUCAUUAUUUUCUGGCGGUGAUGGCGAACUAUCAUGCAUCCAUGAAGAUCUUGAUAAUUUUAAAGAUUCCAUAUCGGUAAGCAUCUUUGUUUCUCGAAUGGAAUCAUACAUCCUUUUAUCUGCUAUUUCCCAAUCUUUCACACAUAUCCCUGCUUUAAUAACAUCUGACGCUAAGUUGCAUCGUUUUUUACUAACUACUCUUCCACCUGCACUAAAAGCAGCUUCUGAUGCAACUGUACUCACAGGAACUGUUAGUACAUCACGAGCAAUUAUAGAAAGCACAGGAUAUUUGUGUUGAUGUGAUUUCCACCAUAUUAAAAUAUUAAAAUCUUCUUGAUCUUCAAAUGAAAUUAUAUCAGUAUUAAGAUAUUUAUCUAAAUCAGAUGUAUUAUUUGGAGAAUUAUUUGUUGUCUUUUUUCGACUUUUCAACAUUUCUAGAGCUCCUUUAUAAAAAGAUGAGGAGUUUGUAGAUGUAGGUGGUAAUUUAAUAGUAUUAAUAUCAUUACCAUAUUUUUCUUUAUAAUAGUUAUAUAAAUUAUAUAAUAAUGAAUUUAUUUCAUUUUUAAUUUCUUCAAUUUUUAUUUGGUCAUUAAAAUAAAUAAUUGUUAACCAUUCAUCCAAAGCUUCAAAUUUCAAUCUAGGGUCCACAAUUAAAGCAAUAUAAAAAAUUAAAGGUAUUUCUCCCCAAUAUUUUCUAAAUUUUUAUAUCAUUACAAAUAUUGUAUCAUUAAAUAUUUCAAAACUUAAAUAUUUUUGAAGUACAAUAAAAAUAUUAGUUAUUUGCGUAAUAACUCGAUUUGAAGUUGGAUAAUAUACACCACAAAAAAUGUUUGUUGAAGUAUCAAAAAUUUCAAAAAGAUCUCUUAAAACAUCCGCAAUAUGCCAAUCAUAAUCAUUUAAUGCAUAAAUAUCUGCUUCAUAAUCAUUGUUAAUUAAUUGUAUUUCAUAUAAUUCGACUACUUUUCUAUAUUUUGUAAUAUUUUCUAAAAGUUUAUAUGUGGAAUUCCAUCUAAUAGCCAUAUCCAAAUUUAUAUUUUUUCUUUUCAUAUUUAACAUUUUGCAACAAUCAAAAAAUAAUUCAUGUUUUGCUUGAAAACUAUUAAUACUAUAUGCAAUGCCUCUAAUUUUUUUCCAAUGUACUAUCAACAUUUUUUAAUCCAUCCUUUACAAUUAAAUUUAAAAUAUGUGCACAACAACGCACAUGAAAUAUUUUAGCAUGAUCUUCUUUUACUUGCCAAUAUCGUUUUAGUCUAUGUAUUGCUGCAUCAUUAUUAGCAGCAUUAUCUAAUGUUAUUGUCAAUAUUUUAUCACGAAUGCCUAAAUCUAUAAUUUCAUCAUUUAUUAAAGAUGCUAUAUUUUUACCACUAUGUGGAGUAUUUAUUAAUUUAAAUAAAAUUAUUCUUUUAUUUAAUUUCCAUUCAUUAUCAAUGUAGUGAACAAUUAUAUAUAAAAAACCAGUAUGAGUUAAAGAUGUCCAAAUGUCAGAUGUUAAACGAAUAUUUCCUUCAAAAUUUGCAAAAUUUUUUUUUAAAAUUUCUUUUUGUGUAUAAAUUUUUUUCAUAAUAUCUCUUUUAACUGUAUUUCCAGAUCAACCUUUAAAUUGAGGAUUAAUACCUCGUUGAAUUGUUCUUGCAAAAUCAUGAGUUUCCAUCAUGUUGAAAGGUUGUUCUGCUCUUAUUAUAUAAUCAAUCAUUUCUUCACAACAGUUAGAUUCAUCAUAAGAAAAUGUUUUUAAAUUUCCACUUUCAUUUUUACUUAAUUGCAUAUAAUUUCUAAUAUCUACAUUAUUUUUAGUUUUACAAUUUUCAUGAUGUCUUUUUAAAUGACUUGUAUCUGCAUUUGAGCCACCAGUAAGAAAUUUAUUACAAAUUUUACAUUUUGCUUUUAUUUUUUUUUUAUUAUUUUCUAAAAUUAUUUCUAUUCUAUCAAAAAAAUUCCAUAUAUUUAAAGUAAAUUUUUUGUUUGAUGAUAUUUCAUCACAUGGACUAGACGAAGAAGCACUUGUCAUAUUAUAAUUAUUGAUAAAAUAUUAUGCCAAAAAUAAUAAAGUAAUAAAUAUAAAAAAAAAUGUAACAAAAAAAAUAAAGUAGUAGGGGUGAAGUAUGUUACUCAAUUAGAGAACCUAUGCAGAAAUUCCUAGCAAAUUUGAACUCUUGGAGCCACCAAUGCUUGUUUUGCACCAUCAACAAUAUUGUAUAAUUUGAGGGAAAAAUAAAAGAAUUUAAAAUAUUGUAGAAUGUGAGAGAAAUAGAGAGAAUUUGAUGAAAAAAUGAAAAGGAAGAAAAUGUAUUUAUAGGAAGGUUAAAAAUAAUAAUAAUAAUAAUAAUAAUAAUAAUAAUAAUAAUAAUAAUAAUAAUAAUAAUAAUAAUUGGCCAUGUGACCGUUGGAGGCUUAGCUCCAACGGUCACAUGGGCUGGAGCUAGGCUCCAACAGUCACAUGACCGUUGGAGCCUUUAAUUUUUUUUUUUAAAAUAAUAUACUUUAUUUUUAUAUAUAUAUAACUAACUCAAUUAAUAAACAUAAAAAGAAUAUAGUUCAGUUGGUUAGAACCUUGAAGUUUAAACAUGAGGGGAGGGGUUUGAAUCCCUCCCUCUCCCUUAGGGGCUUUUUUAAAAGCCAUUUUGGCUUAUUUCAAAAAGCCUGUCGGCCCGACCCGCCCUGCAGCCCGCGGGCCUAGCAUUUUAGCAUGGCCUGGUCUGUUGACUAGUCAAAUGGCUCAUAGGCUCGGCCCGAACUGGGCCGCGGGCCUCUUAUUUACGGACCGGCCCGACCCGGCCCGCCCGUUGGAGACCCUUGAUAAUAUCUUCUAUAUUAAGUUACAUUAUAGUUUAUUUUACAAUAUUAUUAUGAUAAUAUGUCUAAUUUUAAAAUAUAUUUAAUAUUAAAAUUAUGAUCUAUUUUAAUUUAAAUGUAUUCAAUGAUAUCAAAUAAAUAAUAAUAUAUGUAUAAUUCUUUUAUUAUUUAUAUUUAUUAUUUUUAAUAAAUAUAUAGAUUAUAUAAAAAAGACCGGAUAUAUCUUUUCAAAUUUUGUAUCGCUCUCCAAGGAUAUUAGAUGUAUGGGAAUUUGUAUUGCUAUCUACGGAUACGUUGAUAUAUGGGUGAUUUAUCAGGAUAAUUAGAAAUUCUAAUUAUGUAAGCAGGUACGGAGUUCUGUGUCGGUGCGAUCUUGUCGACAACAGCUCCAAAUUGUGCAUCUUGCUCAUAGAGAGUAGCGGAAUGCACCAAUCGUAGGCUCAGAGUACCACUGAGUCGUCUGGCAGAGACCCAACUGAAGGUGCCUGUGUUGUUCCUGAUCUGAUCAGGCUUCAAACUACAAGGUGGAAUACUGGUUCCCCUAUAUCAGAAGCUGGAGAUACCCACCCCAUAUGCUCGUCUGGAUGUGCUCCUACCCUUUGAAGCCUUCUUCCGAGUCAAGUCCGAAUUGAUAAGGCUAGUGAGUUCCCAACCAACUGUACUCAGCAUGCUGCCAGGUGGAGACCCUCCAUAUUUGAUGGCUUCCUAAUAUUAAAAUGCUGACCACUGGUCUUCAUGUUCCACAGGCUUAAUUGUGUCCUUUGCUGAAAGAAUGGAUAGUGAUCCAUUUUAACACAUGAUUCACGCCGUCUUUGCCAUUCUUCAUGGUCUAGCCCUUUUAUAUAUAUGCUUCCUGAACUGUUGCUAUUAAUAAAAUGUGGUAUCUAUCCCGUACACCUUCCUGAUGGCCAGCGAAUGCAGAAGCUACAGAAACGGUUCCAUCUUUUGCUUCCGCCACUUUGGCAUCCUCCAUGAUGAGAUCGAAGGUGAAUAAUCAUAUUCUGGGGAUUUAUGUCCUGGAUAUUCUCAGUAAUGCCCAAUUUCCUGGUGCCGGCCUCAUUUCCAUGGGAACUGAUGGAUAACUUAAGGCUUCUACCAUCUGCGUGGUUCGCUUCUAACACAGGAAACUUCACGGCUAAAAGCAAGAUACCAAGAACAUCAAGGCUGUGACAAAAAUUAGUAUUUUUAACUUGUAGGAAUUUGAAAGGCAACCAACCAUCUAGCUCUGUUCUUAAAGCUCCCAUAGGAGGAUCAGAGGCUGGAUUGCUCAAGAUGAACUCAUCCAUUGUUGCACUUAAAAAGAAUUGGCAUGAAUUGUGGCCGCUCUAAUAGGUUCCCUAAACCAUCAUCCAAGUGGGCUUGCGGAAGGUAGCGAGUUUAAAACACCUAGGGCGAUGAACAGUGGACUGUGAUGCUCACAAAAGAGAAAAGGAAGAAUUCAAUAAUUCCUAAGAAUCCAUUUGCCUGUCAUCCAAAUUUUUAUAUUCUCUUCAGUCUGACGCGUUAUGCCAUAUAUUAAAAAUAGCGGCUUCUUCCAAGCCGAGACAGACUGUGCAAAGUUCGCAAGGCCAAUCAUCACCAUAAUCUGAAGUUGGCCUCCUCAAUCGCAGCUUGUAUCCGAAUGCUCACUUCACGGGAUGGAUUGUAAUGAAAACUAAUCUCAGUCCCAGCUAUGGCAGCAUCCUCACUUGACAGCAUUUUCUGCAUAUUCUAGAACAAAGCAAUAAACCCUCAAAGGCUCCUUCGGAUCAGAGUUAGAAGACUGUCCCUCAGGAACGUGAACACUAUGGUGGUUCUGAUAAGCAGUGAUAUUGCAUUAGAGCCUUUUGGAACAAGAGGAUCUUUUCAGGUGGAAACUGUAAACUGCUUCAUGUUGGGCUGCAACCUUUUCUUCAAGCAAUACUUUCUUUCUGUAUCACGACUUAUGUUGCUUCCGGAGCCAUCCCGUGUGGACUGCCCUUCAGUGAAAGAAUAUGUGUGUUGACAUGUUGGAUUGUAAUCUUUGUUCCACUCUAAUGGCUUUUGGUCCUCCUCUUUCUCUUUAUGACAGAGAACCAUUUAGUGAUCCAUCUCUAUAUUGUAGCAUUGCUGGUGCUUUGCAAUACUACACUCUCACCAAGCAUAACAUCUAUUUUUCCGUGACCAAAGUAUGUCGGUUUAUGCAUGCGCAAACUCUUAUUCAUUGGCAAGUUGUCAAGCGUAUCUCAUGAUUUCCCAAAGCCACAAGUUCUUAUGGUCUUUCUGUUCAAGCUUACAAUGAUCUAUCUUUUCUUGGUUAUACUGAUGUCGAUUGGGCUAGUUGCCCUGAUAACAAGCACAAUACUAGUGGGUACAACACUUUUCCUGGUCCUAAUCUCAUUUCAUGGGCAUUUUCAAAGCAGAAGGUUGUGUCUCACUCCAAUAACGAAUCUGAAUAUAGGGGACUCACUAAUUAAUGUUGUUGCCAAGGUCACUUGGAUUGAAUCUGUCUUACGUGAGUUGCGUGUUUCUCUACCCCAACCACCAAUUUUGUUGUGUGACAACAUUAGUGCUACACACUUGGACAAACCAUGUUGAAAUACACUAUCAUUUUAUCCAUGAAAGGCUUAUGCAUCACACACUCAAAAUUCAAUACACCUCUUCUAUAGACCAACUAGUCAAUGCUAUGACCAAAGCUCUUCCUUCAUCUCACUUGUACAAUCUUCAGUGCAAGCUGAUUGUUCUUCCCAAACCACUCAACUUGAGGGGAGAUGUUAAGCCAAUUUAAUAAAUUGAUUUCUUUUGGUUAAUUUGUUAGAAUCAUUUUUAUUAGAGGUUUGUUUGUACAAUUACAUCCAUUUAUCAGGAGAGUACACGUGUACAACUCCUCUUUUAAUCUCACCAUUGUAUAUAUAUGAUACACGACCUUACUCAGAAUUGCAUAACAUUUCCUCUGCUCAUUCCUUUUCUUCUUUGAAUUUUCCCUUACCUCACUGAUUUUGAUUUAUACCUGGUGUUUUCACCUUUGGUCUCUACCUUUCUAGCCAGUUUUCUAAUUAAUCCGUAUAUGGUAUACCUGUCAACUAAUGAGGAGAAAGAGAAAAGGGGAUUGCUGUUCCACCAGCUACAUAUAAUAAUUAAUUACAAUCAUGGUAAUGGAUCCUGAAAUCCAUCCUUUGUGGAUUUUGUACGGAAUAUUGUUGUUAUGUAUGUGGGCUCACUUAGAUGUAUAUUGCUAGCCUGUCUGGGAAAUGUGAUUGCAGGUCCAGAUUAUGAUGUUGAUAUUAGUGGGAUAAGCAAGAGAUGCAGUUAACACGUAUGUGAUGGACUUGAGUAACUUUUCCAUUUCAGUCCAUUUUUUAAGAUUAUGCUUAGUCUUAUUACAAGGAAAGACCAUAAGAAUCAUGAGUCAUUGGCAAGGUAAUAUCAUUCCCUCUUUACAGGCUUCUUCACCUUUUGGUUUUUUUAAUAUCCAUCAAGAUCUUUUAAUUGGAGGACAAUUACAAGUAUAUAUAUAUGUAUUAAAAGGGGAAAAUAUUAAAACAGGAAAUUUUAGGGAAAAUAUAAUAAUUAUUUCUUCCUUCUUUCCCAUAUAGAACUACACAAAAUAAAACUUUAAUAAUUUUUUCUUAUCUUUUUUAUUAUUAUUUUUUCUUAGAAACAUCCGUGGUCUCACAAGCUUGUAAUCCUAGAUUGUUAGGCUCCUUUAACAGUGCCCCAACAUCGUGGUCCAAUGACAAGCUUCCACGCCUUAAAAUCAGAAAAUGCCAUUAAACUUUAUCAGACAUUACAGUUCAAGACAAAGCUUUCAUUUGCUUAAUGUGAUAAUGAAAUUGUUAAUUUCAUUUCGUGGGCAUCUAAAUUUGGACGAGCAAGACCUCUGAAUUCCCUGUUUUUAUCACCAGCAGAGGAGAUAAAAUCUUAAUGGUGAGAAUCUCCACGUGAAAUUUAUGUGUACUGUCAACAUAUUUUUGUUUAUAUAGUCCAGUAGCUGCAGGAAGUCUAGAUUAUAUAGGUAGCAGUAGCACUAUUUAUAGCACUCGAUAUUCGCUGUAUGAAUACAUUAAACCUUGUUUUCAAUACGCAUCACAAGCAAGUACUAGAUACUACAAGGAGUGACAGUCGCAUCAACAUUUCUUGAUAAUAGCAGUGACUGAUUUAUACACAGAACAGUACUGUACACGUACCAGUCACCAGAGAUAGGAUCUUAUUCCUACAUACGACUCUUAUUGAUCGAAGUCACUCAGUUGGGGUAGCCUGGAGUUGGAGGUUUGUGUGGUGGCUUCUUCUUUGGAGGAGGCUUUAUCUUUGGAGGCAUCAUCUUUGGAGGCAUCUUGUGUGAGUCUUCUUCAGCAUUCUCUACAGGAGGAUGGCCAGGCUUAUGACCCUUAGGUGGUUUGCCAACUGGGAUUGGUGGCUUGUGUCCUGAGAGUGGCUCCUCUUCUUCGGGAGGUUUGCCAACUGACGUUGGUGGCCCGUGUCCUGGGGGUGGCUUGUGUUUUGGGGGUGGUUUCACUCCACCGGGAGGUUUACCAAUUGGUGUUGGUGGUUUGUGCUCAAUCGGUGGCCUCUCAACUGGGGGGCGCUUGGGGUAAUCAGCGAGUGAAGAAGUGGUGAGAACCACCACUCCAAGCAACAACACUAGCAAGUAUGUGGAAGACAUCUUUGAGUUUGGCUCAGAUGGUGUAGAACUAGAAUCCUGGGUGGCCUUUUAUAUUAGUUGGGCCCUAUGCCCGAACGACAAGUGUCAUGGUGACACAUAAAGUGAUGGGGUCGAUUUGGGCCUACCGGAUUUGAAAACUUGGACAAUUCGAGAAGCGUCUCCUGACUCCGGGUUGUAAAGUGAAAGAUUAGGUAUCGACCAUUGAAGUAUGAUCACAACUUUUGGCCUUUGGCUCUCUCUACUGCCGUAUAGCUUUUUUCCUUUGGAUAUUUUUCUUAGCUAGACACAAUUAUUGAGCAGUCUAAUCUCGAAAUGGGAUUAGUAUAGCUUUAAGCAAAUUUAUUAUAGUUAGUGGAGGACUUUUAAGAGUGCAGACGACAUUUAACACAUGCAUGCAGUAGUAUAGGGGACAUAACACUAUUCUUUUUCCAAAGAUUCACAUGAUUUUUAUAUUAUAGUAUUGGCACAUUGUAUGUAGCUGGUUUUGUGGUUAAAAUUCCAUAUGUAGACACUGGCGUUUCUCCAUUUCUCACAAUUGAUGUUUACCUCCACGAUUACUAGAUUAGAUAUACCAAACAAUAACACAUUGUAUAAUCUAUCCGCCCUUCAAAAUCUACUGUAUGAUGAAAUGUUUCAUGUGUGUGUGAAGUGUUAGAAAUGCACUAUAGGCAACAUCAUCUUCUUUUGUCUAGGCUUGGGCCUCAAAUUAUACUCCCAUGCCAUGAUAAAUUUUCAUGUGCAUUCUCUAAAGAAGAGUGUCUUGAAUGUGCCAAAUCAUUUUGAUUGAUUUUAUGAUGUUAAUUGCUCCGCAUAUGGAUGGGUAUGUGCUUUAUUUGCUUAUUCAAUCCACAAUUACCUUGAACUGAAGUCCUAUUGGAGCUCUAUUAUUUUAGCAACGUCCUGUCAAAUAGGCUGCUAACUUGGGGUGGUAUGGACCCAAUGAUCCAUCUUAAUCUUGGGUUGAUUUUGUCUGACUCUAUCUAUCUCAGAGAGAACCAGGAUCACCAGUGCUGGUCUGCUUAAAGAAGACUCAGUACUGGAUUAAUAUUGGUUUGGGUCAAUAGCUUAUAAUGCAUUGAAUGCAGAAUAAACAAGAUCAAUGAAACCCAAAACACACUGCCCACACAACUUCACUCUGGUGUCUGUUAUUCAUCAAUUCUAUUCCCACAUGAACUGGUUCAAGUUUAAGAAAAUGACAACGGAUCCACUGUAUUAACUUGGUUUUGCUUGGUUUUGAGCUAGUUGCCAAACCAGCCAUGAGUUUUACCUCUAAUGUCAAUGAACAAACCCCAAAUGAACAACUGCAACAGCUUAAAGAGAAGGAAUGGAGAUGAAAAUCCCUGUUUCUUCUCAUUCUGGGGACAAAUUAGAACAUAACUACAAAGGUUCUAUUAAUUGACUUACUCUACCAUGAAUUAUGGUUCUUUGGUUUUCCAAAUUUAAAUUGUACAUGAGAUUAUUUUUUUCCUUUAUAUAUAAACAUAUUAAGGUUUUCUUAUUUCGUGGGCAAAUGCGCUAAGGAUGAAAGUCAUUUCAUUUGGCUGCAACAGCAUCUUAUAAUCAACAUGCAUAAGCAGCAGUUUUAAUUGAUCGAUUGAACACCGACUCACAAGAAUAGAUAGAAUGGUACAAGACAGCUCUUAUUAAUUUAUACUCGUUACUCAUUUUAUGUAGCCCCAUUAAGAUGGCUGGCUGGACCACCGAGGUCUGGGGGUGGUGUUGCUUGUGUGAUGCAGCGGGCCGGGCAGACACUUCUCUAGUUGCUUCUAUUUGGAGUUAGAGGAUCAGUCUCUGCCAACCUUGAGGACUCUCUACCUCAGAGGGUCCAGGUGGUGGACUCUGGUGUCGGUAGCUUUGAACUCUCAGUAGACUAGUGUGUCUUAAUCAGUCACUGCCAGAGGCUGGCGUAGGCAGUGACGAUAAGGUGAGACAAAUUACCGAAUAGUCAAUAUCGACUGCACUUGACCAUUAUAGAUUUGUUCUGACAAAAGUGAGAAAAGGGAGAAAAUCGGAUGUUGACCUUUAUAGAAAAAGAUAAGAUUUACUGCAACACAGAGCACUGAUUUGUUACUUGGAAACCAAGUUAUGCUAUUAGCUAGCCUCCAUUAGCAGCAGGGUACCUUGCUGCCUGAUCCUAAUCUGAGUUCCCAAGGUUUCAAUCUUCGUUUGUUAACGCUUCAGGAUUUGGAUAUUUCAGCUUCGUUUCUCCAUUUAGCCAACGCUGCCUGGUUUGGAUUUCAAUCCUCAUCUGGAACAUUCUUUUUUCGGUCUGAUUCAGGAAGUGUUUGGUGAUAGUUGAUUAAAAUUAAACAGUACUAUCAUACAAAUAAAGCUGAUCUAAUUUUGGUGGGCAAUAUACCAACUCAUUUAUUCUUGAAAACACCAUGGGGAAUUGGAGGUCCAUCCGAAGUACUAUUUGAUGGGACUCACAAAAAGAACAGGUGCACAUUUAUGAGAUCCGUGGAAGAGAUAACUAUGACAGCUAUGCAUGUACAACAGAUUUAUGUCGAGUUCACCUCGUAGAUAUUUUGUUUUCAGUGUCGGUGGACCCCAAAAUGGAAAUCGGAAAUUAAGGUUAUAUUUAUUUUUUUAUUUAAUUUUAAAUAGAAUUUUAAUUUUUAAUAAUAUUAAGUAUUAAAUUAUUUUUUUAAGGGUAUUUUAUUUUUAUUAAGUAUUAAAAAGUAAAAAAAAUUAAUAUGUUGCUUUUUUAUUUUAAAAAAAUUAUAUAUUUUAAUUUUUUCUAUUUACUAAAAAGUUUAUAAUAAAUUAUAAAAAAAUAAAAAAAUAAAAAACUUAAAUUCUGAAAAUAAAUUAUUUUUAAUAAAAAAAUCCAAAAAAGCAAACACCACCUAAAUUUGAGAUGACUCAAAAUUUUAUAUUUUUUUUCACCUAAAUUAUAUUCAUAAAUUUAAAAUUAAAAAAUUAGGAAGUUGAAUUUUAUUUUGGAUAAUUGGAAACUACAAGAAAUCAAUAAAAAUAUUUGGAAAAAAAAGAAAAAGAAAAACUAUCUAUAUAUUCACCCCCUUCUAAGAAACAUAACUUUAGUUUUUAACUAUUUUUUAAAAUAAUUUUUGAAAAAUGUUAUAUAAUAUUUUAUAAAACAAAAAAUCUGUUUGACAAUUUGAUAUGUCUUUAACUUAUUUUUAAUAUUUAUAUAUAUAUAUUUUAAAAAUAAUUUUAUAUUUAGAACUUUAUCUUUAAUUAUUAUAUAUAUUUAUAUAAUUAUUUUUUUUAAAACAACUCUUAAAAAAUAAGUGAAAGUAAUUGAAAACAACUCAAAGAUAUUUGAUGAAAACACUCUAAUUUGUAUUUUUGAGAAUAAAAAAAUAAAUAAAUAAAUUUCUAGUUAUCAAAUGUAUUUUUUAAUUCUUUUAUUCUAAAAAAUAGAAAAUCGUUUUUGAAAAUAAUUAUUAAACAACAUUCUUAAAAAUUCACUCGUUACAAUCUAGAUUUAAUGCAAGAAUGAUUGAAGGAGUCCUCCAAUAGAACCCAAAGUUAUAAACAUGAACAAGAAGCCCUAGAAACACCAAAGAUCUCAUAUGGUAUAUAUAUGAGCUUGAUUGAGAACUGUUUUAAAUUCAGUUUUUUUUUUUUUUUUUUUUUUUUGUUUUCAAAGUCAAAACAAGUUUACUUUUAAUUUUUACUUCUUUUUUUUAAUUUUAUAAAUAACAGUUUUUUAAUAAUUUAUUUUGAAAACAUGAUUAUUUUUAAAACUUAUAAUGAAAAUAGGAAUUUUUUUUUUAAUAUCAUGGUUAUUUUCCCUUCUUUUAAGGAGGGCUAUUUUAAAAAUAAAUUUACAAAUAUGAAAAAUGAUUCAAACUAAAGCAGUACAAAUAAAAAACAUUUUUAAGAAAUAUUUAAAAAUAGAGAAAAUUAUUUGAGAACAUUUGAAGUCCUUAAAUAGACUUUUGUUUUAGAAAAGGCAAGAUAAUUAUUUUUGAAAAUUGUUUUCAUAAUGAUAUGCAAAAACCUACGUAAAAACCAUAAUUAUAAUCGGCCACAUAUCAAAUCUACUAAAUAUGAAAAGUAAGUACAUAAUUAUAUUUGACUUAGAUGCAAGGAGGAAAAUGUCGCGAUAUUAUCGCCGAAAUAUCGUGUGUCGAAGGGUAUCGACACGAUUUUUCUUGCAGAAAUAUCGGCCAGUCGAUUUUUCGGGAUAAAUCUCGAGAAAUCGGCAAUUUAUCGCGAUAUAUCGGCGAUUUUUCCUCGAUAUAUCUUCUGGUCAACGCGGGUCAACGGAGUCAACACGCUACAGUGAAAGUCAAAUGUGCUACAAUGUCCCCGCUACAAUCACCUCCCCAAACAAAUUGCCAAAUUGCUUCCGAGGGGAUUUGAACCAGCCUUCUUGCCAUUUGGGCUAACUCGCCCUUAUGAUAUAUAUUGCAUUAAACAUAUAUAUACUUAAAGUCCUUAUAUAAAGAAAAUGUUAAAAAAAUAUUUUAAAGAGCAAAUUAAUUAUAAUUAUUUUAUAAUUAAAAGCAAAAUUUUCUUUUAAUUAAUUACCAAAAAUAUAAAAAUUAUAUAAUUUUCUUCAUAAUGUUUUUAAUAUCAUUAAUAAUUAAUUAAAUAUUAAAAAAUUAUAUAUAUAUAUAUAUAUAUAUAUAUAUAUAUUAUAAUUUAUUUUAUAUUGUUUAAUACAAUUGAAUUAAAUGGAUCAUAUUUUAAUAUUAAUAUAUAUUUUAAAAUUAGACAUAUUGUAAUCAAAUAUCAUAAUAUUAUAUGUAAUUUAAUAAUAAAUGUACACUUAUAAAAUUCAUAUUUUUAUCGAUGCAUACAAUAUUAUUAUCAAAUAUGAUAAAUCAUGUUAUACAUAUAUCAAAAUUUUCAAUAAAAUAACUUUAAAAUGUCUAUUAUACUUCUAAUUAUAUUAUUAUGAGGUUUUCUUUACAUUUUCAUGAGUUUUAAACAAUUUUAAGCACCAAUAUUUUUUUCCAAAAUAUCCACCGAUAUAUCUCCGAUAUAUCCAAUAUAUCUCCGAUAUCUCCGAUAUAUCCGUAAAAUCGAAGUACCGAUAUAUCCGUGAUUACCGAUAUUUUCAUCAUUGCUUAGAUGCAACCUUCUUCCAAAUGACAUACUUUAGUCAAUACUUAUAUUUUUUCGUUUCACUUCUUUGAUACAACACCUCAUGGAUUUAUUGUUUAAUUUAUUUGUAAUUAUAAAACUAUUUUUCAUUUUUAAUAAGACUUGAAUUAAUUUAAUAAAUAUUAUAUAAUUUGAAUUUAUAAUUCUUUUUAUAAAAUCAAAGUAUAUUAAAAAAAAAACAAUUUAUCCGAAGAAAGUUUUUUAUUUUUUAUUUUUUAAAACCGAUUUUAAAAAUAACUAGCUAGACACCCUUAUUUUGAUAAAAUACGAAAUAAAAGUGUAAAAACAACAUGGCCAAAUAGGGGCUUAAAUUUUAUUUUUAAAACAUUUUUUUACACUAAAGUGCAUUUUAAAAACACCAUCAAAACCAACUACAAGUUAUGCUUCUUCCCGUAAUAGAAAUAUUUUAGGCCAAAAUAGAACCUCCCCAAAUAAAGACCCUAUACUAAACUCCUUUUCAUUUUAUUAAUACAAAAGUGGGGAAAAAAGGUCUAUGCUCACCUAAAAAACAUGAAUAUUGUGAAUUCACCAUUUCUAUAAGGAAGUUGAAAACUUCAAAAUUUUAUCAACAAAUUCUCUAAAAUCCUCAAAAUAUAUAGGGCCUGUUUCACAAAGUUUUUUAAAAUUUGUUUUUAUAAAUUGCUUUUAAAAUAUAGAAUAAAUAACAGUUUUUUAGAUUUUUUGAAAAAUAAGAGUGUUUGGUAAGAUGUUUUUUUUUUUUUUUUUUUUUUUAAGAAUUAAAUAAAAAAUAAAAAAAUUGUUUAGAUAAAAGAAUUUGUAUUGUUUUUAAAAACAAUGUCUUACUUUUAUGUUAUAAAAAUUUUAUUAAUUUAAUUUAUAAUAAUAUGAAAUGAAAUUCAAGUUAAGUCUUAUUAAAAAAUACAAAUUAAAUCUAUAAUUAUGCAUGAGUUAAAGAUAAAUAUAUAUUUUUUAAAACUAUAAAAUAAAUUUUCUAUUAUAGUGAAACAAAAAUUACUAUAAAAUAAAAAUAAUUUUAAUAUUCAUUUUUAAUACAAGUCAAAUAAGUACUUUAAUUAAUUUUUUUUAUCAUGAUUUCUUAUGUUUUUUUUUUUUUCUAGAAAUUAUUUUAAGUAAUAUAACUAAUUUUUUUUUUAAUGUUUUAUAAAAAUAAGGAUAUUUGGCAAGUUGUUUUUAUAAAAGGAUUUUAAAAAUAAAUGGAUUUUUUUUUUUUUUAAAAAAAGAACAAAAUGAUUUGUUUGAAUAAAUUGUUUUGAUUUUGUAAAAACAUUUUAAAUUCAAUUUAUAUAAUAUUAAUUAAUUAAAUUAAAUUGAAGUUUUAUUGAAAAUAAAAAUAAUUUUGUAAUUAAAAUUAGAUUAAAAAAUAUAUAGGUUUUAAUAAAUCGUAAAUAGUAAUAUUAUAAUAAAAUUAUAAAUUAUAUUUUUAACAUAAAAUAUACUAUUUAUUACAUAUUAAAAAAAAUAUUUUAUUAUAUUAAUAAUUUUAUGGUAUUAAUGAGUUUAUUAUUUAAGUUUUAAAUUAUUUUUAAAAAUUAAUAAAUUUGUUAACAAAUGCAAUGUACUAAAUGUGGUUUAAUUUGGAGUUAAUUUGUUUAGGGAAAAAAAUAAAAAAUAAAAAUCUUAUGUAAAAGAGAAAUAAUAGAGUGUGUGUGUUUUUUUUUAUUAUUUUUAAAAAUCAGUAAAAAGAACUUUUACUUAUUGCCUAAAAAUUAUUCUCUAUUUUAUUUUAUUUUUUAAAUCUAGAAAUAGAUAACAAUAAUAAAAAAAAUUAAAAAAGAAAAAUGUUUUUUAAAACUCAGACUUAUAAUUGCUUUUGUUUCUCAUUCGCACCCCUGGAUUCCUGGAUUCUAAACACAAAAUUAAGUUGAAUCGUCCAUCUAUCUUGUAAGCCAAGAAUUCACAUAGAAGAAAUAAUCGGAAUUUGAUUUGAUAUCAGAUUUAGAGUGGCUCACUACUCAUGCAUUGUCCCACAAUAGUAAUGCUUUGGGCCGAGAUAAACCCAUUUGUGGGCCCAAAUAAAACCCCUGGUUUGAAAACAUCGAUUUUACAGUGGCCCAAAAGAUUAUCUAUGAGGGGAAGAUAACUUGGAAGUCAAGCAAACACAUUUAUCGCUAACUUUUCUCUAAUUAUAAAAUUAUAACUUGGUCUUCUACACGUCUCACUUAAGAGGCGGAGCCACUUGGCACUACCUUUCCAUAUUGUAAAAGGAGAAGAAGCAGAAGGAGAAGAUUCUUAUGCCAUUCCACACACCAUGGCUAGUACUGCUAUGCUGCUUGGCCCGCCGGCUCUCCGCCAUCCUAAUUCUCCCGCCGGCACUGUCUUUGAAGAUGGGGUCAUUCUAACGGAUUCCCUGAUCGUCCGCACCAGUAAUCUGGAGCUUUCUGAAAAACCGCCACUGGAAUCCCUGGCGUAGUGCUCUGUCAGUGGGGAUAUUGCUAUGGAUUGUUUGGAUUCCCAAGCCCACAAUCUUCAUCUUCCCGGGAAACCGCCGAUGGGCUUAACGGAAAACAAGUCUCCGACCUUUUUGUCUUCCGGGAACCCGUGCUUGGACUUCUUCUUCCAUGUGGUUCCCGAUACGUCGUCUGAUGAUCUGAUCCGACGGUUUGAGUUGGCUUGGGAAUUCAAUCCGCUGACGACGUUAAAACUGAUAUGCAACUUGAGAGAGGUGAGAGGCACCGGAAAAUCUGACAAAGAGGGUUUCUACACGGCGGUUCUCUGGCUCCACGACCACCAUCCCAAAACCCUAGCCUGCAAUGCUAGGGUGUUGGCCAGCUUCGGUUAUUUCAAGGAUUUUCUCGAGAUUCUCUACCGGCUUCUGGAGGGCCCUAAAAUUCGAAGAAUCGAAAAGAAAGACUGGCUGGAUCGAAAAGGAAGGAAGAAAAAUUCCCGGAAAAGGAACUCAAUAUUCAAGCGAGAAAAUAGGCCUGGAGUUGAAUUUCCUGUAGAAGAGAAGGAUGUGGAGUAUAUGGUGGAAGAAUUUGUGGAUAAAGAAAAGGCUAGGGUACUGAGAAAGGAGAGAGAACUUGCUCUUGCCAAAAGAGCCCUGCACAAGUAUUCUACUGAUUCUAAUUAUCAGUUCUUACAUGAUCAGAUUUCAGAUUUAUUUGCUGAACUUCUGAAAUCUGAUAUUCAGUAUUUAAACUCCGGUGAGCUUUACAAGAUUAGUCUCGCAUCCAAAUGGUGUCCCACAAUUGAUUCUUCUUAUGAUAAAUCCACCUUGAUAUGUGAAAAUAUUGCUCGAAAGGUUUAUUCUCGCGAGGAAUAUAUAUCCAGAAUACCAAGGAAUUGAGGAGGCUCACUAUGUUAAUAGAGUCAGGGAUAGGUUGAGAAAACAAGUACUUGUUCCAUUACGUAAGGCCCUGGAGUUGCCAGAGGUUUUCAUGUGUUCGAACCAGUGGGGAUCACUUCCCUACAACCGUGUGGCUUCAGUGGCCAUGAAAUCAUACAAGAGCCUCUUCUCAAAACAUGAUACAGAGCGGUUUGGUGUGUAUCUUGAGAAAGUGCAAACUGGGAAGGCUAAGAUUGCAGCUGGUGCAUUACUUCCCCAUGAGAUUAUAGCUUCAUUGAAUGAGGAGGAUGGCGAGAAAGUUGCAGAGCUUCAGUGGGCGAGAAUGGUGGAAGAUUUAUCAAAGAAUGGGAGGCUCACAAAUUGCAGUGCGGUAUGUGACGUAUCAGGAAGUAUGAGUGGAACUCCAAUGAAGGUGUGUGUGGCUCUGGGGCUGUUAGUUUCAGAGCUCAGUGAAGAUCCAUGGAAAGGUAAUGUAAUUACUUUCAGUGCAAGUCCUGAGCUUCACAAGAUCCAAGGAGACAGCCUUGUAUCCAAGACUGAAUUUGUGAGGAUGAUGGAAUGGGGUGCGAACACUGAUUUUCAGAAAGUUUUUGACAGAAUCUUACAAGUAGCAGUGGAGGGAAAUCUGAGUGAAGAUCAAAUGAUAAAGAGGGUUUUCGUUUUCACUGAUAUGGAGUUUGAUGAAGCUUGUGGGAGGUAUAACUAUUGUGAAUAUGACUAUGAUAUGGAGGAAAUUGAUGAGAGUCAGAAGGCAUCUCAGAAGUGGGAGACAGAUUAUGAAGUGAUACAGCGGAAAUUCCAGGACAAAGGAUAUGGAAAAGUUCCGGAGAUAGUGUUUUGGAACCUUAGAAACUCAUCAGAGACUCCAGUGAUGGCCACAGAGAACGGGGUGGCCUUAGUAAGCGGGUUUUCGAAGAAUCUGUUAGACCUUGUUUUUGGAAGGAGGUGGAAUUCUGACCCCUCAGGAUGUGAUGGAAUUAGCCAUCUCUGGUGAAGAUUACAAGAAACUUGUUCUAUUUGAUUAAGAUAUCAAGAGAUUUAUCAAUAAUAAUAUGUUUUUUUUUUUCUAUGUGAAAUACAUGUAAUAUUAACUAUGGAGUUAUCAAAGUUCUGGAAAUUUAAUUAUUUCUUCUUUUCAAGUUUUGUUUGUCUUUGUUAGGAAUUCCCCUUGGGCGGACCCAGCUGGGGACUUGGAUUGAGGAAGUAAGGAGGCGAAAUUGUGUUCUUCUAUGGACAGAGAAAAAAGAUAAAAAUAAAAAAUAAAAAAGGAGGUUAUUUGCAUUUGGAUGUCAUGUGGUUUCAGGGUACAACUACAAGUUCGAAAUUGUACAUAAUGUGAAAAUUCCUGUGUGGAGAACAGCAUAAAUAUGUAUCUCAGUGUGUUUUGUUUGAGCUAAUUGGCAAAUUCGCUUUAAACAUGGUCACAUGGAUGCAUAUUUAUUUGUGAAAUGAUAGUAGUCGAUUACUUGGUCAGUAAGGUUUGUAUCUCUAACUCCAACAUCUUAUUGUAGUCUUUUAAAAUGUCAAAAGUUUAAUGCUAGCUUGAGAAAUUUUGGAAUGGAGACAUUCUAAACAAAGUUAAUAAUCCAUGAGACUUGGUAAAACCGAUCAGAUGAUGCUUACGUACAUGAAUGCCUUCUUUAAGCCGUAUCCUAUUUUCAUUGAAUGAGACGUGCCAUCUAGUUUUGUUCUUGUCUUGAUUGGAUCAUGAUCCCGGGAAUUGAUUACUGUUCUGAAUUUGCGAAUGUUCAAGGUAUUAGAGAAAGUUAAUAUUAUCGUUAAUUUACAUAUUAGUAUUUAUCUAGUUAUUAUAUAUUAGUUUGAAUUAUAAUAUAAUAUAGAAUUUGAAUCAAGUUUACUAUUAGUUUGAAUUACAAUAGGAAAUAAAGUUUGAAUUAUAGUAUAACUCAAAUAUAUUUGUAUAUAAAUAUCCAUCUUUAUCAAUGAGAAUAGUAAACCAUAUUUUUCUCUAUCUUCUUCUUUCUCUAUAUAUAUGGUAUCAAAGCCUCCAAAUCCUAAACCUAGUCUCAACUUAGAGCAAAUUUAGGGUGCAGGGUUUAGGCCCCGCCUCCCCCAACCCUUACCACAAAUGGUAGUGACCUUGUUAUGCCUAUGUAUUGUCAAUGCCUCAUUUUCUAUGGUCUUCAAUACAAUAUCUAGUUUCAAUGUCUCUUUCCUUACUAUCUCCAAUGCAAUAUAUUGAUUUCAAUAUCUCUUUACAACCAAGAGCUCCAAAUUUUCCUGGUUCAAAUCUACCAUAAUUUUUAUUCUCCUUUGCUUUUUACCAAUAUUAGUUCCCCUAAUUUAAUAUAUAUCUCUUUAUUACCUUCAACUCUACCUCUCUCUUUCUUUAAAAGCUUCCUCAAAGAUUUGAUUGCUUUCUUGCAUGUUUUGGGAAAACAAACAUGCUCAUAUUCUAUUACCUCUACUUGAGAUCUGCCUUAUACUCUACCUUCUUCUUUACCUCCUAUAUCAUCUACUACAUUAGCUUCAAAAACAUUAUUUAGUUUGAUGCUAAAUAAGGCUCCUAAUCCUACCCUUCCUUCAACUAACUUUCUUUUACAAGUCCCUCAAAGUUUUUUUUUUUUUUUUUUUGGAAAUUUGGCUUAGAAAGAUUUCAUUACUCUUACCUAAUCUUUCAACCAUCAAGUCGAAUCCACUUAUCUCUUGAAUCCAAGGAGACUACCCUCCACAAAAACAAGGAGAUUGACCCCCACAAUAACAAAGAGAUUGUCCUCCAUAGAAACAAAGAGAGCUUCCUUCAUGGAAGCCGAAUACAUCGCAAUCUAUUUUCUUUCUCUCAAGAUCAAAUCUCCAAUCGGAGCUCCAUCUUGUGGGGAUAUAUUAGAAAAAGUUAAUAUUAUCCUUAAUUUACAUAUUAGUAUUUAUCUAUAUUAUAUAUUGAAUUAGAAUAGAAUAUAGAAUUUGAAUUAAGUUUACUAUUAGUUUAAAUUACAAUAGGAAAUAGAGUUUGAAUUAUAGUAGAACUCAAAUAUAUUUAUAUAUAAAUAUCCAUCAUUAUCAAUGAGAAUAGUAUUCCAUAUUUUUCUCUUUCCCUGAGGCUUCAGAAUGUGAUCUUGAACAUUUGAUCUUUUGGAUUCUUCUUGUUUCGGUGGUUUAAUAUAAUGGAAUGUUUAAUUAUAGCCUACUUUAUCACCAUGGAUGUGCUCCUGCAGAUUUCUUGAGGGUGAUGGUUAUUUUGUCAUGUUUCUUGAAUGGUUUGCAUCAGCUGCCUGAGCUGUUGUUGCUGGUCACUUUUGCAACCAGGGAAAGAAUCAUGGCUUUGGAGAAGCCAGCUUCUGUUUUUGUUGCCCAGCUGUUAGUUCACUAAGAUUGGGGGUCCUAACAUGUAUGUAUAAUCAUAAGCAAGGAAAUUUUAUGUCUUACGCUAGAUAGGUACCAUGAUAUGAUGUUUGAUUGAUUUAUUAACUCUACCUGUUUCAAAAGGCAUCAACAUUAAUUUUACCCUUUUAACACAUUGGAUUGUUUGACCUUACGAGAUUUUCUAUUUCUGUACUAUUUGAACUGCAAUCGUUAUGGUCCUUAGGUCUCUAAACCUUCGUUUAAAAUAAAAGUAAGGAGCACACAUAGUAAAAGUUAAUUUUGGGUAACUUUUAAAACAAAGAGAAAAGUAAAAGUUGUUUUUGAGAAAAACAUAUAGAAAUUGAAAGAUUUUUUAUUUUGAGAAAAAAAAGUCAUAGAAAAGAAAUAAUAUCCCCAUAUAAGUAGAUAUGAUCUAUCCGAAGUGUAGCUACUCUCCUGGAUUUAUUCUAACAUUUUAAAAUUUUUCUCAAUGGGCAAAGGAAUAUCAAAUCAAGCUUGAGUAGGAUUAAUUUCUUAAUUUUUAAAAUAACUUAUAAUUAAAAUUUUUUGGUGUUUUCUUUUUUGGACAAUUUUUUAUGAAGACUCUGAAUCAUGCAAGAGAUAUGGUUAUUUUAAAAAAAAAAAUAAUUUAAAACUCAAAUACAUAAUCAAUGUCACAAAUUUAUAAACAAAAGGUUUUUAAAAAAUACUAUUAUUUCCCCUCUACACAUAAUUUUACUUUUCCGAUUUAUUUAUUUUUGUUGGAAAACAGUCUUCAAAUCAAGUAAAAUUAAUAUGUUAAAUUUGUUAAACAAAUAAAUUUUAAAAUACAAUUUGGAACUCAAAAAUCAAUUCAAGUAAUGCUAAAAUUCAAAAAAUCAAAUUUGGAAUAAAAUGACUUUGUAAAUUUUUUUACUAAACAAAUGAAUUUUAAAUCAAGUGAGAUUUAAUACAUUGGAUUUUUAUGAGAAUAGUAAUUUUAAAAAUUAAUUUGGAACUCAAAAAUAGACACAAUAAAUACCAAAAAUCAAUGAACCAAAAUUGGUUUGGAAUAACUCCAUAAUUUUUUAUUUAUUUAUAUAUUUAUUUUUUUGUGCACACGAAUUUCUUACUAAGCAUAUUGCUUCCAAAUUGAGAAAAAUUUACUAUUUAGAUUUUUUUAAUGAGUUUAAUGGUAUUUAAAAAUAAUUCAAAAAUUCGAAAAUUGACUAAUUUAAUAUUAUAAAUUCAUAAACCAAGACUAAUUCAAAAUGCAUUGGGGGCUAAGGGGGUUGAAAUUAAUGCUCCAUUUGGUUGUGGCCACCAAUUGGCAAUGGCCACCAAUCAACCAAUCAAGGUGGCUAAGGGGGUUGAAAAUAGGGACAAUGGGGUGGGUUUGGGACAGGACACUCAUAUCCCAUUCCCAUCCCAAUUACACAGUUAUUUCCCAUCCUUAUUCCAAACUUGUGUUGGGGCAAGUUGAUUUGUUCCCAUCUUUGUUAACGAAAUGACUAAUAACCUCAUCCUCUCCUUGUCUUAGAUGUACAUUUUCUCAAAUUUGGUCAGGUAUGAUUGAUUCAAGCCCUAACCUUAAUUGGUAAUGAGUGGAUACCACACCUAAUUGCAUUCUUCUUUCGUUGCAAAAUAAUGAGAUUAUAAUAAUCUAGCAAAUAAGAAAAAAUAGUAUGGAAGUUCAAAUUAACACCAUAACUAUCAAUAAUUUUAAGCUUAUAGAUGACUUAAAUGAUUGAAAACUAAUGCAAAAUACUAAAAAAAAAAAAAAUCAUCUAAAGAAUUCACAAGAGAAUAGAACGAACAAAACCAAAUAGGAACAUGGGUCAACAUUAGUUACAGAUUUUGAUCCCUUUCAAGGCCAAUCUUUGAACCAAGACUUCAUCAAAUCUACUACUUCAAAGGCUUUUGUGUUCUUCUUGAGUUGUACUCUGGAACAAAGACUUCGAGGUGAUGCUUUAGAUGAUUGCAUUACACAUAUUUAGGGUAGGGAGAUUGGAGAAGCUUGAAGAUGCCAACGAUGGGUACAAUUGAGUGGUCAAUAAGAACAAUGUGGCCUAUGACUAGUUUGAUGUCAUGGUAUAGGAGUUUUGGGCAUUGAGGUGAAAGCAAGAGCAACAUGGAAUUGAUUUCAAAGUCUUUCAAUUAGUGUAAAGGAGGAAGAAGAAGUGGUAUUGAUCCUAGAAAUAGUGUUUUAGGUGUUGCAUUAGAGGAAAAGAAAAAGAAAAAGAAGGAACCAUUGGAAUUAGUACGAGUGUGAAGAGAGAAGUGUAUACAUAAGGGGAAGUAAAAGCAAAGUUCUAAAAAUUUAUUUUUUUAUUGGUGGUGUAUGGUUGCAUGAUUAUCCCUAUAAAUAAUAGGAGUUUUUUGGUGUUCUACUAGUAGUUGAAGGAUAAUUUCAUAAGAUAAUAUUUAGAGCGGGGUGGGGUGAGUUGUGACAAAAUCCAUACCCGUCCCAAACAUUGGUUCAGGUUUUUAAAAUAUUUUCAAACUUAUCAUAUACCCAAUUUUAUAUUUCAUACUUGUCCUAAUAGAGACAGGUUAGUCAGGGUUACUUGAGUAGCCUACAAAACUAUCAUCCCUAGUUGAAAUGCUCUUUUUGGCAGUGGCAGCUAGAAGCUCGAUCGAUUGACCUACAAGACUAGUUGUCAUCAUUUUAAAAAGAGUUUUGGCUUUGGUUGUGAGUGCAAUUGAAUCUAAACUAACAUUUCCUUAAUGCAUCUACUUCAAUCCUAAACUUCUUACUUAAGCCUCAAUUGUUGUUAAGAUUUUGGAAAACCCAUUUCCUUAAAUUGUAAAUUUAAGAAAAAAAAAAUUAAAAGUGAGACAUUUCUUGAUUGAAUGUUGUUAAAGGUCCCUUGGAAUUAAGACUUGGUUGAAGCCUUGGAAGAUUAGCAGAACUCUCAACUUAUGUUUGAACCUUGAGGAGAGUGGACGUAGGCCAAAAUUUUGUCAAACCAUUAUACAAAUUGAGUUUGAAUUCUCAUUUCUUGAUUUCUUAUUUAUUUGCUUUUUCUUAUUAUUACUUGAAUUGUCAUUUGCAUUCAUUAAUGUUAAAAUUGGUUAUAAUUAGCCAACACUAAUUCUCUUUCCCCUUCCCUUAAUUUCUUGGGUGUAAACCUAGGUUGGAUUAACUAGAUUUUAUCAAAUCUAUUAAGAUGGUAAAAGAAUAAUUAUUCUUAACAUACAUAAGAUCAUCUUCAAUCAAAUGACUCAUUGGCUGAUAUGUUGAAUUUGCUUAUUACUUGCAACUCAAAAUUGUGUUCUAGUUGAUAUGUCAAGUCCUGAGUGUAUGGACAUUAAAUUUGUAGUACGUGAUGAGUAUUUAGAUGGUCCAAUUCCAAGAAAGUGAUUGAAAACUAGUUCAAGAAAGGUGCAAAAGGGAAUUGUUUUGGUAUUUUCGUUUUUAUUCUUGAAGGUGGCAGAGCUAAAAUUUGAGAAAUCAAGCAAAACAUACUGAAAUUACAUUGAAAGAAAGAAAAUGGGAGUUAAUGUCUUGCAGUACAUGAUAAGGACUUCAUGCAUGUAGUGUGACCCAUGUCUUGGACUGAUGCCACACUCACGGUUACACUUAUACCCUUAGUUCUCUCUUUACUACCUUAGCUAACCUAGAUCAGGUUAUGAGAUAGGCACCUCACCACACCAUUACUUGCCCAUUAAUUAGUGACAUUUUCAAGCAAUGAGGUAACAUGGUGACACCAAGAGGGUAUAUUCCUCACCCCCAACAAGCCUAGACCUGGUCUAAAAAAAAUGGAGAAAAAUGACGUGUUGUUAUGCAGAAAUAUAGCAACCAUGCCUUCCUCAUUACUUAGAUUCAGAAUGUGAAGGUGAAAUUGAGAAACAGAAACUCUUGAAACCAAAAUGAAAAUUGAUACUUUUACGAAGAAUUACAACAACAUUAGAGGAAGACUACAUUCUUCCUCUUUAUUCCUACAUUUCUACACUACUUCUACUCCACUCCAUAUUUCUACAUACAUCUUUAAUCAGUCUUCCCUCCUUUAUAUAGAGCCAUCUUCACACAAAUUCCGCAAGGUAGAAAAGAGGAAUGAAACUUGGAGCAAGGUUCGACUACUGGCUGUAGCUUGUCAAGGCUGAAAGUGAACUUUUUUUCUUGGCUUUUCUGGGCAUAGGUAGUAACUUGUAGGUUCCUUUUUGGAAUGAAAAUGGUACGGCUAGAACAUGUGGCACUCUCUUGUUGGAUGAUGUGUCAAGCAUGUGGCAGCCAUCUAGUGGAGAUUAUGUCAAUUUUGGGAUGGAGAGUUGGCAUCCAAUUGCAAAGAAAUAUGACAUCUACCAACAUGCAAUGUCAACCUAUGUAGAUCAUAUGAAGAUAGAGAGGAAAAAUAUAGAAAUGGAUAUAUAACUAGAACUAGCUUUUUAUUAAAUGAGACGGAGAGCCAACAAUGAAGGAAAAUCAAAAUUUUUGGCUCAUAUCAAAGAAUUCACAUUGUGUUACCCUAGGUUUUCUUAAAACUUACUUUUAUGAUAAUAAAAAAUCAUUAUUGUUUAAUCCUUUGUUUUAAACGCAUGUUUAGCAGGUUGUAAAAUGUAAAUAUCUUUCGAAAUUCAAAUAUGAAGAUAUGACAUCAUUUCAAGCAAUAUAGUCUCUAGGAAUUAAUGUAAAGCUAAAUUAAGGUGCAAUUAAGUUAGUUCAAUGCAUUAUUUUAAGAAACUUGACCUAUCAAAACCUUGUCUUACUUCAAAGCCUCUUUUUCUUUUCUUCCAACUAACAUUUUAAUAAGUGAUCGCAAAAGUACAAAAUUAGAUGAAAUCCAUUUCAAUGGUUAAAAUGAUCAAAUUCAAACUUUUUCUAAGUAUCUUUUAAAAGCAUCAAUAUUGAAAGACAAUUUUAUAUUUAGUCAAAGCUUGGACAGAGCCAAAAAGCACACAAAAAUUUAUAUUUUCUAGCUCUCUACCUUGGAUGGUCUCUUGAUCCUACUUGGAGAUGUGCAUAAAUAAAAGGAUUUGAAAAUGACAAUUGACUAAGUAUGUAGUCAAUCAAUUACUCAUUGAUUGACUAGUUGAUCAAUUAACUUUGCAACAUCAUAUGCAAUCCUAAUAGCUAGUCAUCUAAUCAACUAGGUAGUAAAUCAAUAGGCCAAAAAUAUGUUUAUAAUGACUAUUUUGUACAAAAACCACUUAUAUAGUUAAAUAUAAUGCAUUUCAUUUAUAAAUCUUCUAAUUCUUGAAUAACAAUCCUAUCAUCCUUUGAAAGUUUUUAUUACACCUUUUCUACAUUUGUUCUAAAACUUAUACAUCACCCUUAAUUGUACCAUGAGAACCUAGCAUUUUUUUUUUUUUUUUUGUAUUUCAUCAAAGUUAGCUCUUGUACUCAUUGUUGUAUUAUUUUUAUUGUAACUUAGAGAGCGAGUGUUUUCAAGUGAGUGAAAUUGACUUGUAAAUAUUGUAAAGAUUCAUUGAUAUGUAUCUCAAACUAGGUGUACAAGUUGAAACAUUUGCUAGUAGAUUUUCUCAAGAUUUAGAAUGAGCUUAAGGCUAUCGAAUUAGGUGGGGUUGCGCCAAACCAUAUCACAUCGUUGUUUGCACCUUUUUUUUCACUCUCUUUUACUUAGUUGCUCUAUAUAUAUUGUCUAGCAAUAUCCUAAAGGCUUGAUGGGCUAGGGAGCAUCCCUCUGAAUGAAAAAUUUUCAUUCAAUUCUUAGUUGUAUUACGCAUAUAUAAAAUGCCUCAUUGUUUUAAUGGUAUUCAGUCGUGGCACCACAGAUAUGGACAUCUAAAUUUUAAAAGUUUGAAACUUUUAGCUAAAGAAAAUAUGGUGCUUUGCCUUUUUGGAAAGCAUGUUGAUGAAAUCCAUGAGAAUUGUAUACUUGGAGAGCAACAUCGAGAUAACUUUUUUUUUUUCUUUUUUUAUAAUGCAUUGUUUGUCCAAAUUCCGUACAAAUUAGGCCACCACAUGUUCAUAAUUCUCCCUUCUUGAAUUUGAAAACUCGGACAAUUUGACAAUGCGACACCUAAGUCCGGUUUUUAAAUGCUAAAGUGAAAGGGCAGGUAUGGACCAUUGAAAUGUGAUAACAACUUUUGGCCUUUUCCUUUUCUCUGUAGCCAUGUUGUCUCUUUUUAAUUUCUUUUGCAUGAUUUUCUUACCUAAACAGAAUCAUAGACUUGUUUAAUCUCUAAGUGGGAUUUCAUCCACCUUAAGCUACUGUAUUAUAUCUCGGUGGAGGACAACCGACAUAGAGCACAUGCAAGUGGGUAUAUGGGACAUGAAAUAUCUUCUUAUAAAGCUUGUUUUGCAGUUAAAUUAAUUGGAUAAGUAGACACUGGCGUUUCUAAAUUUCCCACCUAAGAUAAUGACCUUAUCCUUGACUGCUAGAUACACAAACAAUUAUACCUUCAAAAUCUACUGUGAAGUGCUUCAUGUAUGUGUGAAGUAUUAGAAAUUUCUUUCUUGGCAACUUGUUUUUUUCUUUGCGGUCUACUGAUAGGUUUGACUAAAAUUAUAUUCCCUGUCCUGCUAAUUAAUUUUCACGUGCAUGCUCAAAAGAAGAGUAUGACCUUAGUGCACCAAAAUCACUUUCAAUAAUUUGUGAUAAGUUUUUUUGCAUGACAUUAACCUUAUUCAUUUAGAUAAUGUUUAGUUCUCAUAAAUAUUAAGAAAAUGAAAAUAAAUAUUAAGAAAAAUAUUCUUAUAUUUGAUUGUAUUAUGAAAAAUAUCAUAAAAAAUCAAAUAUAAUUAAAAUUAAUUAAUAAUUUAUAUAUUUUAAAAUUAUUUAAUUUUUAUAUUAAAGAUAUAAUAUAAAUGAAAUGAGUUUUAAGUAUUAUAUAAAAAUGAUUUAUUUAUUUAUUUAUAUAUAUAUAUAUAUAUAUAUUUAGUUUUUCUCUUUAUUUUAUUUUCCUUAUGUUUUCCUCACAUUUUCCGGAAUCAAAGAUAGGGAAAUCCACAAUUACCUUCAACUGAGUAGAUUCUAUUGUUUUAGCAAUGUUAGGCUGCUAACUUGUGGUGGUACGAACCAAAUGAUCCAUGUUAAUCUUGGCUUGAUUUAAUUUGGCUCUAUCUCAGAGAACUCAAGGAUCACGUCAACUCUGGUUUCUACUAUUCAGGUCCAUUCCCAGAUGAACUGGUUCAAAUUUGAGAAAAUGGUAACAGACCUUUAGUGAUAUUGGUUUGGAGCCAGUUGCCAAACCUGCCCUGAGCUUUACCACUAAUGUCAAGGGACAAAGCCAUUUGAACAAAAACAAUAGCUUCAAGAGACUGAAUCGUGGAUGAAAUCUGAUCCACAUUUCUUCUCAUUUUGGGAAAAAAUGAGGACUUAACCACAAAGAUUCUACUGCCUCAUAGUGCUUUUCCUGAUCUAAGGUUGGCUCGUUUCCCAAAUUGUGAGGUGCACGUGCCACUCUCACGCUCAGGAGUGUAUCCACGUGGUGGACAUAAGAUGGUGGCUUAAUAUCUGGUGUCGGUGGCUUUACUUUACUAGGAGAGUAGUGUGUCUUCAUCUCAUUCACUGCCAGAGGGUGGCGUAAGCAGUGACGCUAAGGUGGGGCACAGUCAAUAUCAUUUGCAUUUGACCAUUAUAAUUUUCUCCCGGCUUUAAAGUAACCUUAUCGUGAUAAUGGAUUACUAGCACUAGUUCAGAUGACAGUCAUGUUAAAUUCGGACCAUGUUUGUGUCACAUUAUCAGCAACCAUGUGCUUGUGGUUCAUGCUAUCUGCAACUAAACUUGAUAUAUAACCAGGUGAACUUCAAUCUAAAUUCUGGAAGUACUCAUGUGAUAGAUGGUGCCUGUCUGCAGUGAGUGUAUCUAUAAGAGGGAAGGCUUGGCAAAUGUUCAGUUUUCUGGGAAUUCAACAGGGAUCUAAAAUAGAUUGUUUUCUUUGCUGAUUUCAAUGGUUGAAAUUUGAGAAGAUUGUGUCCACAUAACACAACUAUUACUGGUCCUUCUGUUGCAAUUUAUCCUCUAAGGCUCUAACAUGUCUUCCAAUUCCCACUUCCCACUUCCCUGUUACUCCAGGAAAGCUGUUUCUGUCAUUGUGAAGAAGAAAAGAGACUGUACAUAUCGAUGCUUUUAAGUGGACUGGAGAAUUCAUAUCAGGUGGUCUGCAGCCAUACAUGCCACUUUGUGAAGGUUGGAACAGUCAAUCACUAGGCUAUAUUAGUGGGGCCCAGCCACUUCAAUCAAGGACAAGUCUUCAUACUUAAAGUCAAAUUCUGCCUUUAGUCUCAUUAUAAAUUGCUGUUUAAAUAUCAAGCAAACAUUUGUUUAAUGCGAUUAAGACAGCACUAACUCAAUACUUGUUCUAUUUUUGGAUGCAAAUGCUUGAUAGUUUCAUCAUUGGAGGGGAUAAAGGUGCAUUCAUGAUUAUGAAUACUUGUAGUUAUAUUUUCAUUCUCUUUUUUCUCAAUGGGACUUGUUGGCACAAUUUUGCUGUUCAGAAACCUACCUCUCCAUGGAAAAUCAGUUGUGAUUGAUAUUACUGGAUAUAUUCAAGAAAGCUAAAUGUAGAUAGCACAAAAUAUUAUCGACAUAAAUAGCAUUAACAGCGUACGUAUGUCUCAAUGCUCAUCAGCUAUAAGCAAGGGGCAAACACUUACUAUGAGCAACUUACGUCAAAAUUCCGGAAUAGGACAUAGAAGUGACAGGUCAGUAAAUAUAGAACACUGCAUAUGAGUCACAAGAAAGGAAAUUACGGGUACAUAGCAGCUCUUAUUUUACAUCCUACUCAUACUGAUCAAAGUCACUCAGUUGGGAUGGGUGGGAGUGGGAGGUUUGUGGGGUGGCUUGUGCGGAGGAGUUGGCAGCUUCUUUCCAGGACCUGGUUGCUUCUCUGCUGGAGUUGAAGGAGGCUUAAUCUUCCGAGGUGGCUUGUAUGAGUCUUCAGCAUUCUCAGCAGGAGGGUGACCAGGGUUGUGACCACAAUGUGGUGGCUUCUCUCCCUUAGGUGGUUUGCCAACUGGGGUUGGUGGCUUGUGUUCCGGAAGUGGCUUCUCUUUGUGUUCAGGAGGUGGCUUCUCCACUGGAGGCUUGUGUUCAGGAGGUGGCUUCUCCACCGGAGGCUUGUGUUCAGGAGGUGGCUUCUCCACCGGAGGCUUGUGUUCAGGAGGUGGCUUCUCCACCGGAGGCUUAUGCUCUGGUGGUGGCUUCUCCACCGGAGGCUUAUGCUCUGGUGGUGGCUUCUCCACCGGAGGCUUAUGCAAUGGUGGUGGCUUCUCCACCGGAGGCUUGUGUUCAGGAGGUGGCUUCUCUACCGGAGGCUUAUGCUCUGGUG